rnacentral:lncRNA from 1 species
AUAAUCUUCUGGAAACAGAGAACACAACAAGAAGCAUAACUUGGACUCCUCACUAUUUAAAUUGUCGUAACUGAAUUUGAGACAACCGUAAACGCCUUGGUCAUCCUUGUCAAUACCUUCUAUUGCAUAGAGUUUUGCUUCCCUUAGGUUAGAUAGUGCUAGAUUCCAAUCAUCAAAUCCUUUUUCUCUUAGUGCACUUCCAACAACUUCAAUAGCUAAAGGCAGCCCCUUACAUUCGCCAGCAACUUGUUUUGAAACACCAUCCAAGGAGGAGUCGUUUACAUUAAUACGGGCAUUCAUUUUUAGGAGAGUCAAUCCUUCUUCUGCUGUUAGUGUACCAAGUUCAAUCUGUGGGUAACAACCGAAAAAACCACAAAUUGACUUUUUGCGAGUGGUUAGAAGGAUUUUGCAACAAUUGUCUCUAUCACUAAUGGGAAUACCUAAUUUUUUCUCCAAGUCGAGUUGUUUCCAAACAUCAUCAAGGAUUAUGAGGAUUUUGCUGCCUUUAUUCUCAGAAAACAUCAACCGCAAUCGAUCUGCUCUCUCUUUUUCAUCUGUCUCAUUUAACGCCCAGCCUAACGACUUUACCAGCUCACCUUGAACCUUUAUUAUAUCUGGAUCCUGAGACACAGUGACUAUCCCCACCUUAUCGAAAUCCUUUUGUUGCCGAAGUUGAUUGCCCACAAAUUUUGCCAGGGUUGUCUUUCCUACGCCACCGAGACCAUGCAAUCCCACCAUCUUUAUGCUCGCUUUUUUCAGGGCGUCAAUGAUCUGAUUGCGAGCUGAUUCUGUGGUCUCGAAGGUAGAAGAAAAAUAACUUGGUAAACUUAAUUCUCUCUCUAAUGUUAGAGGUUUAGGACGGGCAACUGUGCUGAAUUUGCUGCGGUCUUGUAGCAGAUCGGACAACUUGCUAGUCUUCUUUGAAGCUUUUCUACCCAGCCAGUAUCGCCAACCCCAAUUAGGACACCAUCCAUUAAGACAACUCUUCUUUUCAUCUAUCUUUGCUUUCAAAUUUCGAACGUCGGCCAUUUCUUUGUCUACAUCCUCGAGCCAUGUCUCGACAUCUUUCUCGACUACUAUAGCACGGUGUAUUUGUCGUUCUUGUUCUACUCUUUCAUUGAUGCCAUCUUGUGCCUCCUUCAAAUUGGUUUCUUUAACCUUAAGUUCUUUAUCUAUGCUGUUGAAACAGAGCAGAUAGCGAGCUUGGUUUAUGGUUGCAUCCGCCAAUAAUUCUCCAAGCUUUGAUGCAACACCUGAUAAAAUUUCCAUGCUAUUUAUCUGCAAUUAACAAGUUGAUCUCAGUAUGCUAUAAGCAAAACAUCAAGGCUUGAUCACAAGAUCGAACGAGAAUAUUUAAUUGCUUUAAAUAAGAGCAAAAUGCAAAACAGAAGAGAAUGAAAUAAGGUAAACGUUAUAUAUGAUGGAUUACAUUGAAAUUGGAUUACUUUAGAAAUUUUUAAAUAAAAAUAUCAAACAACAAAUUUUAUAGAAUCCGGAUAAACCUAAGAGUUUGUUGUGCAUGGCGAGUGAACACAGGCAGUUGCGUGGGGAAUAUGAUAGAAGUGAUGAAAAACUGAAAAGCCACCCAUAAUAACAAUUAAAAACAGUAUUAGAGAUUAGAGGAGUUCAACAUCCCAUGCAAGCCCACUCAUGAAAAAAUAUGAAUGGUUUCAAGAUGAUUACUCUUUUUUUUUUUUACCUUUAAUAAAUAUUCUAAUAAAAUAAUACCAUAAUUUCAAAUAAUAUCUUAAUUUCUUUUUCCUUUAAAUGUUCAUUGAUCUCACAUAUUGGAUAAUUAAUUUAAUCAUUUGUUAAAUUAUUUAUUACUCUAUCUUAUUAUUCGAUAGAUAUAAAUGACACCUUAUUUGGUAUGAUAAAAAAUUGGGGUAAAUUUUCUUUUAUUCUCAGAAGUUUGGACCUAUUACUAGUUAUAGUAUUUGUAUUUUUUAAAAUUUUACCUAAACGGUCCAUGUCAUAUCUUUUAUAGCCAUCGAACAUGACUUUUCAAGUGUAAGAUAAUAUUUUUGUCUGUUAUAAAUUAAAAUUCAAAUGAAUCUAUCAUGCAACAAAUGAAACGUAAAUAAUAUUAAUUAGGUUUUAAUUGGAAACAAAUAUAAAAAAUUGCUUUUUUAUUAAUUUUUGUGAAGUCUUUUAAUGUUCGAAUUAGAAUUGAAUAAUUUGUAUAAGGAUAAUUUAUAGGAAGAUAAUCUGCAGAAUAAGCUUAUAUGUCGAAUUUAAAAGAGUUAUAUUAGUAAUCAUAUAUUUAUUAAAUUUUUUUAAUAAAAAAUUUGUUUAAAAAUUGGCCAAAUGGGUUUCAUGAAUAAAAUAGAAGAGCAUGAACAGCGCCACUUUCAAUUUUUAUUGUGGUUGUACAAUUGAAAAGACGCAUUAAAUGGACCAAUUUGAAAUGGCAAGAGAGCAUAAUGGACUCAUGUUGGGACUUGGAUAGGAAAAUUAAUUUUAUUUUAAAGUAUGGUCAACAGUACUGAUUUGGAGGUGAUUGACGUUAAGUUAAAUUAAUGAAAACAAAUGGCAAAAAAAUUUUAAUGAAAAUUAAUUAAUGAAAAAACGCAUUAAAAAAUUUGAACUUAAGAUCGUGAUCAUUUUGUCCGUAUGUUUUUAAUCCAACGGCUCAGAAUUGGCAUAAAACAAGCUCGUAUAGCCAUUGGAAGUAAAACAAAAAUCAAUUUAAGAGCCUAUGAAACAAUAAGAUCUCAUACCUUCUUCGUUAUAUAUCCUCAAUUACUGCUGAAAGCUCCAGUUAAGAGAGUCGCACAAGUUCGGAAAAAAUUAUAAAAAGCUGCAUAUGGCAAUAUAAAUAAACAUCAGAUCAAAACGACAUCGGAUAUAUCUACCUAAUUAACAUCUCAUAUAAGUCCUUGUUCUCAGUCAAAUAUUUCAUCCUUAGAAAAAAGAAAAAAAAAAGAUUGCAAUAAUAACUGUAUGUUUUUAAUCCAACGUGCAAAAUUGGCAUAAAACAAACAUUAAGUUAAGACUUUAGAGCCUAUGAAACAAUAAUAUCUCAUACCUUCUUCGUUAUAUAUCCUCAAUUACUGCUGAAAGCUCCAGUUAAGAGAGUCGCACAAGUUCGGAAAAAAUUAUAAAAAGCUGCAUAUGGCAAUAUAAAUAAACAUCAGAUCAAAACGACAUCGGAUAUAUCUACCUAAUUAACAUCUCAUAUAAGUCCUUGUUCUCAGUCAAAUAUUUCAUCCUUAGAAAAAAGAAAAAAAAAAGAUUGCAAUAAUAACUGUAUGUUUUUAAUCCAACGUGCAAAAUUGGCAUAAAACAAACAUUAAGUUAAGACUUUAGAGCCUAUGAAACAAUAAUAUCUCAUACCUUCUUCGUUAUAUAUCCUCAAUUACUGCUGAAAGCUCCAGUUAAGAGAGUCGCACAAGUUCGGAAAAAAUUAUAAAAAGCUGCAUAUGGCAAUAUAAAUAAACAUCAGAUCAAAACGACAUCGGAUAUAUCUACCUAAUUAACAUCUCAUAUAAGUCCUUGUUCUCAGUCAAAUAUUUCAUCCUUAGAAAAAAGAAAAAAAAAAGAUUGCAAUAAUAACUGUAUGUUUUUAAUCCAACGUGCAAAAUUGGCAUAAAACAAACAUUAAGUUAAGACUUUAGAGCCUAUGAAACAAUAAUAUCUCAUACCUUCUUCGUUAUAUAUCCUCAAUUACUGCUGAAAGCUCCAGUUAAGAGAGUCGCACAAGUUCGGAAAAAAUUAUAAAAAGCUGCAUAUGGCAAUAUAAAUAAACAUCAGAUCAAAACGACAUCGGAUCUGAAAGCUCCAGUUAAGAGAGUCGCACAAGUUCGGAAAAAAUUAUAAAAAGCUGCAUAUGGCAAUAUAAAUAAACAUCAGAUCAAAACGACAUCGGAUAUAUCUACCUAAUUAACAUCUCAUAUAAGUCCUUGUUCUCAGUCAAAUAUUUCAUCCUUAGAAAAAAGAAAAAAAAAAGAUUGCAAUAAUAACUGUAUGUUUUUAAUCCAACGUGCAAAAUUGGCAUAAAACAAACAUUAAGUUAAGACUUUAGAGCCUAUGAAACAAUAAUAUCUCAUACCUUCUUCGUUAUAUAUCCUCAAUUACUGCUGAAAGCUCCAGUUAAGAGAGUCGCACAAGUUCGGAAAAAAUCAAAUCUUUCAUUCUUAGGAGAUAAAAAAAAAAUUGAAAUAAUAACUGUUCAGUGACAUAGGAUUAGGAAGCAAAAGUAACAUACCAAAAUGAGAGUAGCCAGUUCACAGAUGACAGAUCCGGUGACUUCAAGAGCAUAAAAAAUUAUUGAACUUUGUUAGAAAGGUCUGAGUCGUGUUUCACAAAAUUAUUGAACUUUGUAUUUGGGGUAUUUUUUUGGUUGUUAAGUGAAUGAGCUUAAAUCUAAAACAUUUAUUUAUAUAUUUCUUGUUGGAAAGAAUUUAAAUCUUAUUCUUAUUAGACUUAUUCUUUUUAAACAAAGGUAGAUUUUUCUCUUUGUGUUUAACGUGUAUUUUAAAAUUAAUGUUCAACAUAUCUUUAGAUUCUAUUAUAAAUAUUCAUAUCUAAAAUCUCAACAGAUUUCAUAAUAUAUAAAUAUAUAUAAAAAGAGAGAAUAAUUCUAAUAAGAAAUUUAUUAAGUUAAAGAAUAAUUCAAAUAAUAAAAUAACACACUUCAAUGUAUACAUAUCUUUAGAUUCUUUAGUAUAAUAAAAUAUAUUGUAUUAAAAUAUAUAUUUUAUUUACUUUUUUUAAUAUAUCUCUUAAUAACUUAAGAAAUCCUUUAUUUACCUCUCUCUCUCUCUAUAUAUAUAUAUAUAUAGUUUUUUAAAAAAUAGACAAUUUAGAGUUAAACAACGGACAUUAUGGGGGCCUUUACUAGACUACCAAUCUACCAUUUUGGAUUGUAAUAAAGUUAAAAUGGGUUUCUUUCAAAAGAAAGAAAAAGUGACAAUCAAUCUUGCCGGCCAAUACAUCAACUUUUUAGCUGGAUUAUUACCACCACAAAACUAAAUUAUUGCAAGCACUAGCAAAAAGCAAUCGAUGAUUUCGCAAUUUGGCUGUCAAAAAGCAAACUAGAUCACGAUUCCUCCAUUAAAAAUGGUGCUUUUUUUUAUUAAAUACGUAAAAAUUAAACCAACAAUUCAAAAUAGACGAUUGUAGAUGCGUAUAAACUGAAGAAGGUAAAUUUUUCGUGUGUGUAAAUAUUUUAGUUAACAUGAAAGAAUUCUAACAAAGUUAAUAUAAGAGUAUCAUAGCAAUACAAGAGUAAAUAUAUAUAUGUGUGUGAGUGAAGGAAGAAAAAAAAAUUAAGAAUAAUUUUGGCAUUUUGAUGGGUUUUAUAGAGUAAAAUCUAUAUUUUCAAAUAUGAUAAUUCUUUAAUUUAAUUUGAUGUUAUGAAAAAAGGGCAUUUUAAAUAUGUUUUAAGAUAAAGUGAAAACAGUAGACUACCAAUAUACCAUUUUGGAUUGCAAUAAAGUGAAAAUGGGUUACUUUCAAAAAAGAAAAGGUAACUGUGAGUUCUCCAUUUCAUCUUGUCGGCCAAUACAUCAACUUUUUGCUGGAUUAUUAUCACCGUCAAAAAUAAAUUAUUGAAUCACAAGCAAAAAGUAAUCUGUCGUCAUCUUGAUUCCGUAAUUUGGCUGUCAAAAUACAGGGUAAAACUAAGUUCUCAUUAAAUAUAUAAUUGUAUAGUUGUAUUAAUAAAAUUUAAUGGCUAAAAAUAAUAAUGGUACUGUAUUGCUGUUGUAAUAUAAUUGGACCCCAAAAUGCAAUCCAUAAAGAUUACCAUACCUCGUUUUAAAAAAAUACUGUUUCUGAUGAAAUAAAUGAAAAUUAAACUUGCAAUCUACCACGAACACACCAUUCAAUAAGCCGUUUAUUUCUCCUUAAAUUUUUAAUCUCAAUGAAACAUAAAUCUAAUGGGAACUACACAUAUAUAAAAAUACUAUAGAUUGAAGAAGUUGAUUUUUUCUUGUGUUAAGUAUUUUUGGUUAAUACGAAAGGAUUCUAGCAAGUUAAUACAAAAGUUUCAUAAAUUCAUAGUAGCACAAGAGAUUUUUUUUUCUUUUGAUAUUAAGAGUUUUUGAGAUAAAAAAAAUAGGUGAAAGAAGAAGAUGAGAGAAGAAAAAAUAUUAAGAAUAGUUUUGGCAUUUUGAUGCGUUUUAUAGAGUAAAAUCUAUAUUUUAUAGUAUAAAAUGGUACACCCAGAAUUUAAUGAUAAAAUUUUAGAAAAAAAUUGCACUCGUCAAGAAAAAAAAAAAGCUCAGCUUAACUCAAAAUUUUUUUAUUAAUCGUCUAGUCGCUAAUGUAAUCUCUUUUUUAUGAGAUUCUUUGGCGAUUUGAUUUAGUCCAUUGUUAGCAAUCCUAAUAGCUUUUAUGUGGAUCUAUUUUUAUUUGAAAUAUGUUUCAAGCUUGAAUAAAAUCUGCGGGACAACUAGUAAGUAAUAAAGCUCAUCACUUACACUUAGCAUGAUAUUAUUUUUGAUAAGUCAUUGUUUUGGUAGAUUAUUUUUUCUGACACGCUCUUAGAUUUAGUGAAAAUAAAUUGUAUACUUUUAAUGAAGAAAAGUAAAGAUUAACAAAAUAUUUUGUUGUUUUCGGUAAUUUUUGCGCUGUCAAGUGCGCCUGGUACCUUUUUUUUUUUUUUUAACUUUUGAGGUGUUGUUUAAUUUGUAUUAAAAUUAAUUAUCAUGGACCCACGUGCCAUUGUUUUCAUUUCAAGUUUCAUAAUUUAACAGUAGAAAUAGGUUCCACAGAUAAUUUAUUUUAUAAUUUUUUUAAAAAUUACUAAAAUGUAAUAAAUAAGGUAAUAAUAAUUAAUAAAAAGUAGAUUUUAAGAUGGAAAAAUCUUUUUGUGUACUUAAUAAAAAGAUGAUAAGAAUGGGAUGUUUUUGGUUAAUUGGUUUACAUUCUCAUAGUUAUUUAUACUGAAAAAUUACAUCAAAAUUUAAUUAAUAAAUCAGUGAACUGCAGACUUAUUAAAUUUAAGCUAUUUUAAUAAGUCAUAAAUAUACUAAGUUAAAAUAGUAGUAAACCCAUUGUUACACAAUACUCUCCAUUGAGUGUUCACCAUUUUAAGAUAAUCAUAAAAUGACACCGGAAGUGCUAUUAUAGCUGUCUCAUGGAAAGCCUUCACCAAUAAAAAGGUGUUUGAUUUUAUCUUCUUUUAUAUACGCUCCUCUAACUUGUGUAAUAGUAGUAAACGGGUAAUUUUUAAAAAUUUUUCGUGAGGUUUGGGCUUGUUGCAAGUAGAUGGCGAGAAUCUAUUUAUUUGUAAAAAACUUCUUACCGUUAGUUACUUUUAACAUUGACCAUUAGUUGACUGUGUAAAGACAAUAUUACCCUUAACAACAAUUUGUAGAUGGAAUUAAUUAAAAAAAAACUAAAAUUGUUAGCUAUUUUACCCUCUUUAUAUUAUUAAUAUUUUCUUAAAAUUUCUACAAGAAUGAUAAAAUUAAAAACUUAAAUUUUUUUUUAAAUUAUUGAUAUUUCCUUAAAGUUCCUACAAGAAAGAUAAAAUUAAAAAUUUAAAAAUAAACUAGUCAUAAUCUUUCCCUAUAAUAUUAUAAAUCUUUGAAAUUGACAAGGAUAAAAUUAUCAAAAAAUAGGAAUUGUACUUUUCGCGCCAACAAUUUUAAUUUUUUUUUAAUUAUGUCAGUCUACAAACUGCUGUGAAGGGUAAUAUUAUCUUUACACAGUCAACUAAUGGUCAAUGUUAAAAUUAACUAACGAUAAGGGAUAUUUUAUAAAUAAACAAAUUCUCGCCAUCUAUUUGCAACAAACCCAAACCUCAGGGGAGGUUUUUAAAAAUUAUCCAGUAGUAAACCCCUGCCUGUUUUUAUUUCGUUUAGUAUUUUCUAAAUGGCCGAAGGAAAAUUGUUAAAAACUCAUUUAAAAAUUAAAAAAUCAAAGAAAUUCAAGAAGAAGCUUUUGUAUCUGCCAUUUGUAUUUGGGGUAUUUUUUUGGUUGUUAAGUGAAUGAGCUUAAAUCUAAAACAUUUAUUUAUAUAUUUCUUGUUGGCAAGAAUUUAAAUCUUAUUCUUAUUAGACUUAUUCUCUUUAAACAAAGGUUGAUUUUUCUCUAUGUAUUUAACGUGUAUUUUAAAAUUAAUGUUCAACAUAUCUUUAGAUUCUAUUAUAAAUAUUCAUAUCUAAAAUCUCAACAGAUUUCAUAAUAUAUAAAUGUAUAUAAAGAGAGAGAAUAACGUUUCUAAUAAGAAAUUUAUUAAGUUAAAGAAUAAUUUAAAAGAUAAAAUUGUAUUCAACCCAUUUAUAUGAUUAAUUAAGGUUUUAAACAAAUUUUGGACUUGUUCUAUUGUAGAGCUUAAAUUCAAAAUGGAAAAGUGAAGAAGGGAAAAAGAAGACGAAUAAAGAAGAAAAGAGGAGAACAACUUAUACCAAAGAGGGAGAACGAAAAAGUGAAGGACAGAAAAAGAAAAAGAAUAAAGAAGAAAUUAAUCAUCGCUGAUAUGAAAAUAAUUCCUUCUUCUUUAUUGUUCUUAGUGGUUCUACUUUUUUUUAUUGGAUUCUAAAUUUUUGUCGGAGAUGGAUUAUAAGAACUAGAAAAUUAUAAAGAUAAUUUUUUAAUUAUUCGAUUAAUUAAUUCCAGCAGAAGACAAGAAAUUGAUUCUGCUUCGUUAGAAAGCCAUCACAUUCUAUACGCAAUUGCAAAAAGUAUAUAUUUUUGUCUGUUUUAGACAAGAAUAAAAGGGAUGCCUGGUAUUGCAAAUCUAGACACGUUUUAGUGCUUUAUGUCCGAAUGAAUUCUUUCUUGCAACAAUAAACUUGGCCGAUCAGGAUUUGCCGUUUACAUAUGUAGGUCCUGUUGGUUCUGUAGUAGGACUCAUAAAUUUUUAUUUUUAAUUUACUGAAUCCAUAAAUUUAAAAUAACGGUGCAACUCCUGAGGGAUGACAAUGGGCCGGGUGAGGUCUUGGAGUCUGCAUAUUAAAAAAUGUGGAUCCGAAUAUAAAAAAUCCGCACGAAUCCGAAUGCAAGUGCAUUUGAAAAACCGGAUAUCGAGAUAUGGAUAAAAAUUUAUUUCAAAUUAAAAAUUAAAUUAAAUGUAUAUUAAAAAGUAAAUGAAAAAUUAAGAAAGUAAAUUUUAUUUGUGGAUUUAUGAUGUCAUUGUAUAUUAUUCAUGUUGAAUUAUUAAUUGUUGGAUUAUGAUUGAAUUUUAUUUGAUAUUAUUGGGCAAAUUAUUGAAUUUCAUUUUAAAUUAAAAAUUAAAUUAAAAAUAUUUAUUAAAAAUUAAAUUUUAUUUGUAGAUUUAUGAGAUUAUUGUAUGUUAUUCAUUUUAAAUUUUUAAUUAUUGAACUAUGAUUAAAUUUUAUUUGAUAUUAUUAGGUAAAUUAUUAAACUUUUAAAUUUUAUAUUAAAUUAUAAGCAGUAGGAAAUUAUGGUAUUCAGAACAUGUAUACCUUCGCACAUGAAGCUUGAGUCCAGAACAAGAUGCAGCUAGCCAAUCCUUCAACUUCCAAAACCCCACAAAACCUCUGUCAACAUAUCUGCUCUACUUCAAUAUUAAGCACAUUCAUAGCGGUAUCAACAGCUUACAGCUCCAAAAAUAGUUUGAGAUUUCAUUGAAGCUAAGUUGUGACUUGUGACUGUCCAAAUGUUCUGUCACACGAAAUGAUUAUUCUUGUAACACAAAUCCAAUAGCAUGCAAUAUAAUCUACUCUCUAACACUGUGCAUUAGUAAAAUAAAACAGAGUAAAAAGAGAAACCAUGCCUGUGAAUCUCUUCUCCUACCCCCACCACCCCUUUUUUUGGUAAAGUCUAUCAAAUGAAAAUGCAGCAUGACCACAUUGGCCACUACCACUGCCAUUACUCCUUCAACUGUGCCCUUUGUUGCAAGAAAUCCUCAAGUGAAAGAUGGAUUAUAUAAUUAAAGAUUCCAAUAGAAGCAGCAAAGGUUGCCUUCCACUAGCCUAUCAGAGAAUAUGCUUUCUAUUUUCCUAGUUUUAAUCAAAAUUUUGCAAGAUUUAUUUAUGGAAAACUUGGACAAAAUUUUAUGUAAGAUACCAUAAAGCCAAACACAAUCUUUUUAAUUCUCAGCAGCAACAUUUAAAGUAAAAAGAUGGAAGCCAUAUAAAUAUAACUAUAUUUGGUACGAGGAACAAUUAUUUCAAGCUUUCAGAAAUGCUAGCAAGAAAUUGUAAGAGAACUUUACCUAGUCACAGAAUAUGUCAAGCAUACUACCACCAACUGUCUUUAGCACAAUUGUUAUGAAGUAGCCUCUGAAUCGGAAGAUUCAAGCUUCCACCAGGCACAAUUAUUUUCAUUCUCCAUACAAUCUGCAGCAGUGGCAUGAGUUAUAUCAUCAACAUUUGCAUCCUCACUCUCAUCACCCCAAUCAAGGCUUCUUCUCCACCUCUGGAUUAUAAGUCCGCUUCGACAUCUUCAAACAUCUCGGUCCUUCCAUUUGCAAACAACCGAUAUGGCUUCUUUCCUUGCCUUCCUCAUCAUUUAUAUCCCCCCAAAAAAGGGUCUUUAGACACCUCAACUUUGCCUUCUGCAAAACCUCCACAAAAUCUGAAUUAUCCAACACAACAGCUAGACGCUUGAUCCUUCUUUUGUCCAUCAUAUCCACCGCAUGAUUCCUCAACAAACAUCUGCAGCUUGUGGCUUAUCUAACACUGUCCUGACCCAAAACCCCACUCUUGUCAACUCAUCUGCCAAACCAUAACCCACUUUUGGAGUCAAAAUUGCAAAACCCCACUCUUGUCAACUCAUCUGCCAAACCAUAACCCACUUUUGGAGUCAAAAUUGUCCUUGCAGCCCUUUUAUAUUUUUCCAUCUCCAUCGAAUACUUGCCACUCAAAUGGAAUUACCAGACAGGAAUCCCAGUAACACCUCUAGCUGAUUCUACGAUUCAACCUCUUCUUUUGUUUACACUCAUGAAUUUGGAUAAAAUAAUUAACAAGUUUGUCAUUAUUAUAAAAUCUCCUUUCACAAACACCACAUAAAUAUGGCUCAGCAGGCUUAAUUACACCCUUGCUUUCCAAUUGGUUAAACAAUUUUUCUCCUCUUUGCUCUCUUACAACUUGAGGCACAUAACUAAAUGCAUGGCUAUUGGCAUAUGCCACCAUGUAUUUAACAACCCAAGUGAAGAUAUUGAUUUGAGGGUUUGUUGUCCAAAUCCCUAAAAAUUCACACAUUGCGUUGGACAGUUUUUAGUUCUACAAUUAAUGAUACGUUAUGUGAAUUAAGCUCCAAAUUAGAACAUCUAAACAAUGAGACAAAUGGGCUCUAGGUUUCUAAUCAGUAAACAUCGUUCAGUCGCAUAAUUUAUGAAAUUUUUGAAACAUCACUACAGCUACAGGUCUUUAUGUGUCAAUGAACUGCAGAAACUAAUGAUCUACUAGUAGUAGACGUUUGUUGUCCCCACCGUUCCAGGAAGAAAAAUAAGUAGAAGAACUACUUUUAGACCAAAAUUAAAAAAUUGAAACUAUCUUGAAAGACUUUCCCUUCAACUAAGUAAAAAAGAAAAGAAAAAAGGUAUUAGACAAGCAUUUUCAAAGGAAAAAGAUCAUCCAUUUAUUGUAUGUACUCAGGAAAAAUAAAUGUACUAAUAGGUAGAAACACAGCAAUAAAACUCAAAAACUAACAUCUAUAAAGCUCAAUAACAAUUAUGAAUUAGAUAUUUUGUCCCUUCAUAAUUCCUCCUCUUGACUUCACAUUUCCCCUCAGCCCGUGAUAAUUUUACCUAUUGAAUUCACAUUUCCCCUCAUCCAUUGAACUUUCCCAAUAACAAGAUGAGUCUAAAUCAUCAAUCUCAUUAAACACUCACAUCUACUAAAUAAUAUCACAUGCAGUAACUUUAAGUAAGGAUCUAAAACUUACAAGAAAAAGAAAACUACUGUUUAUUAAUUUCAAAAUUUACACAAAAUUACAAAUGAUUUUAUAAACUGUACCAAAACAUGUUCUCUAAAAGAGAUUCAUUAUCCUGCAUUUUCAAAAACAAUAUAAACUAACACUAGAAUAGCCAUUUGAUAAUGAUGUGAAUUUGGGCAGCACCAAGAAGCAGUGAGCCCCAUUUGGUGAAAGCAAAAAGAAAAAAAAUUAAAAUAAAGCACUAUAAAUUCUAAUCAAAUUAUUAACAUUAGUUACACAUCAAGAAACCAGAAUAAAAUCGUUAUCUAAACCACAUACUGAAAAAGAAAAAACAAUGCAGUUAAAAUUCUAUCAUUUUCACUUACAAACAAAUAAAGAAAAAAUUAAGAACAAAGGUUGAAGCAAAGAAUGAUUGUACCUUGAGGUACUUGAGGUUAAUGUUUCCAUAAACGAGACCGAGCGAAAAAGCCGAAACCAGAGCAACCUAUUCUUACUACUCAAAAACCCGCCCAGAUCAGAAAAUAAAUGAUCAUUCAAUAACAAUUCAUAAAAACUCCAUCCCAUCGCGAUCAUUCAAUAACAAUUAAUAAAAACUCCAUCCCAUCGCAUUUAAAACAAAACAAAGAAAAUAUUGAUUAGAAAAAAAAUUACACAUGGAAUAAAAGAAUAUAAAAAUGGAAUUACCAGAGGGAGCUAGUGCCGGAGUAGGAACCAGAAGGCAGCGCCAUAUGCUGCUCUUGUUAUGGUUUUCCUUCUUGUGGGCCUGCGCUGAAGUCGAAGAUGAAGAAACAAGAAAAAGCCAGCAAAUUGAGAAAUCGACUACCAUCUUCGAUUCCGACUCGCAUGGCCAUUUUUCUUUGAUGAAUGAAAUAUUGUUUUACUCCCUAAUUCUUAACCAAAUUACAAGUUUUGACUUCUGUUUGUAUGUUCUUUCAUACGGGUUCUUGUUCACAGGAAUAACAAAUGGGCCGGACGUGUGGCUAAGCCCGGGCCUGGUGUCGAUAGCCAGGCCUGGGCUUUUACGAGCCCAGGCAUUUAAUUCUGAACAUAAUCCUUAUAUCACUUCACUUUUGUAAUCGUAAUUUUAUUGUACUGAAAAUUAUAUAAACGAUUAAUAUGAAUUUAAUUAAACAAACAUGUCUUUACAACUCAUGCAACCUUACUAUUUUCUAAUCCUAAUAUGUGAUAUAAUUAAUUUUACUGAUAAAAUCAAAAUAAUUUUUAAACAAUGAAGAAAUAAAUUAUAAUAACAGUAAAUUUAUUAUGAAAAAGUAUGUUUACAAAAUUUAUUUUAAAUGAUAUGAAAUCUAAUAAAAAUUCUAUUCUAAUUUUAUGUCCUUUUUUACAAUUUUAUUAAAAAGUGGGAUUUCUUAAGAUUUUAGAAGGAGUGUUGGAAUUCUAUUUUUCCAGCUUUGAAUUUUAGUGGCCUCUUUAAGGCCCCAAAAAAAAAAGCACCGGUCCUCUAUUAUUUCAAAUAAGUUCAAGCCCUAUGUCAUUAUUGGUACAAAAAUGUAUUAGAAUGGUUAAAAACUAUUUUUAUUUAACUUAUAAACUUAGGAAAUUAUCAACUGUCCGCCCUUAAAUUGCAUUGUUAUAAAAAAUAUUACAACAUUUCACCUUGAAAUUGCAUUGUUAUAAAAAAUAUUACAACAUUUUUCAGGUUGUAUCAUUCAUCUACCAUAAAUUUACAAUCUGCAUCAUUUAUCCACCAAAUCAUUAACUUCGUUAAAAAGUGAUAGACGUCACAAGGGUAAUUUAGACAUUUAACACACAAAAAAAUAAAAGAGAAAUUAUCUAAGCUUACCAUGUUAUCAAAAUUGCUACAAAAUUUUAAAUUUGUUCAAUUUUCCAAUCUAAGUUUAUGACCUCCAAGAUGUUAAUUGCAGUUUGUAAUUAAUGACUUCAUAAGGAUAAUUUAGACACUCAAUAUGCAAAAUAAAAAAUAAAAUAAUGGCUUAAAACAUUAAAACAAAAAACUACUUUUUAUAAUUGAUAUUCAAUUAAAUACACAUAAACUCUAUUUUUUCUUAAUUAAAAAUAUUCUAAUUUAUUUUCUCAAUUUAUCAUCAUAAAUUUACAUUAAUAAACUAAAUCCACAAAUUACCCUAAACCCUAAUUCAUAAAUGCCCAAUCAAUCAAAUAGUUUAAUUCGAUUUCAUAAUUAAAAAAGCUAAAUUUAUUAUAUUAGUUAUGGUGCAAAGUCAAAAAUGCCCUUAAAUUCAAGGGUAAAAUAACAUUUUAUUUAAAUUCUAUAAAUUAUUCUAACAAUGUUAACAUUUUAGUGGACGGUUAAUAUAAGUUACAAACUUAAAGUAGAAAAUCAAAUAAAUUCAAAAUUUCAAACUCAAAAAUUUCAAACUAUUUAAAAAAAAUUUAGGAUAUAUGGUUAAUAAUUUUCCUUUAUCUUUUUACGUUAAAUUGAAUUUCAAAAGUAAAAUGGUCAAUUAAUAUAAUUCUAUUAAUUUUUUAAUGGAAGCAAACGAUAUAAUGGACGAAUGAUAUAAAUUGUAAAAUUAAGGUGCAUGAAUGAUACAACUUUAAAGUAUUAUAAUAAUUUUAAUAAUAGAACAAUUUAAGGGUGGAUUGGCAAUAAUUUAAACUUUAAUGAAGCAGCUAAAAAAAUUUUUUAACAAAGAAAAAUAAUUGAAUGCUUUGUGAAACCAAAAAUAAUUGAAAUGCUUUAAGAAAAAUUAAGGAAAUUAAAUAUCUUUAUAAAAACAUAAUUGAGUAAAAUCAUUUUACAAAAUGUUAUUUCAAAUGCACAUUCCACAAGCCAAGAAGAACGGGUGGCUAACAAAAAUCUCACUUUUUAUGAGUUUAUAAAAUCUCACCUUUGCAUAAUCCAAAAAUAACAAAUACUAAUCACACAAAAAAUAAAAAUUAUUGCUGUCACGACAGUACACACUUUCUUCGCCGGUCCUCAAUACAAAAUGCGUGCUACAACUAAAUUGGCCCAAUUAAUGCCCAUCGAAAAGGCCAUCAACAAUUUUGUCAAAAUUUCAACAAUUGAAGAAAUCUUGAGAUACAUAAAACAAAGUCUUGAAACAAAUAUUAACAAUCCAUCUGCAGAGGAAGUAUGGAACAAAGCUUAUUAUUAGCUUCUUGUGUGAACUGAACACGCUGAACAAAGCAUUUUUUUUUUGGAUUUUUGGAAUUUUUUAAAGUCAUUUAUGUUCGCUGUCAUCUUUUUCUUCGCUGGCGUCUUCAUUGGCAUCUUCCUCGUCUGUAGUUUGCUGUGUCUAUAUAUCCAACCAAUAAAUUGGGCAUUAAAUACGAAUGAAUGAUGAAUAAAAUGAUAAAAAAAAAAAACAAACAGAGAAAAUUAUAAUAUAACACAUAUAUAUAUUGAAAGAGAAAUUUUGAUUUUAGGAUAGAUCAAUUAGCUAUCACAAACGAAAACAUGAACCAACUAUGUAUAGAGUCAAUUAACUAAAAGUUCUCAAGAAUUACCUCUGGUCCAGAAUUCUCGGAAUCAUCUUCUCCUUCUGAACUUGGACGAAACUUGGGACAAUUACGAACAACUUCAUCGUAUUUAGAAGAUGGAAAUGGGAUCUGAUAACCCGCAGGCCAAAAGUUGGUGAGGUUUGGUAAAUCUCUCAGUUCCAAGCUUCGAAGUUCAUUCAUAACAAUUUCAUUGUAAUCCGUGACGUCUGCUCCAUCUUUAUGCCAGAAUACUUCUUCUAAUUCAUCAUUAGCUGUUAUGCAUAGGUACUUCAGUUUUUGAAGACUUGGAGCUACGCUGAUAUGAAAUAGAUGCUUUAGUUUGGGGCACCAACAGACAUAAAUGCUUGUGAGUUUUGGGAAACAUACAGGUUGGAGAUGAUCCUCAUCCUCAUCCUCAUCAAUGAUUUGCUCUAAUCCCCGACAAUUCCAAAUAGAUAACUCCUCCAAUUGCAGCAGAUUUCGAGCAAGUGUUGAUGAGAAGAGACGUCUCAGCAUAGUGCACCCGUUUACAGUUAAUUCGGUAAGACUUUGCAGGCUAAAAUUAUGCGUGGGACCUUCAUGAUAUAAUAAUACUUGCAGUUCUCGAAGGUUUUCCAACUGCACCUCCUUCAAACAUGGGAAUAGUUUGUUUUCUUCUCCUUCAGCGAUAAUAGCUUCCAAUUGAAAUACCACCUGUACUCCCAGUCGUCUAAUACGCAAUUCUUCCAAAUUUUUUAAUCCGUGCUUCAACAGUGCUGGAAUCGUGUCACUCAAAUGGGAACAACUUUCCACAUAUAGACUUCGUAAUUUCUGAGACAAAUAAAUAAAUAACUUGAUGCAAUUAAAAUCUAUUAGCAGCUAGGAUUAUCACAUGAUAAGUGAUGAACACCGCAAAAAUAUCAUAAUACAUAUGUAAACUAAUAAAAUAAUUAAAAAGUAAUGGAUUCUUAAAAAAAAUUGAAAUUAGUUAAAAGAGAUCAUGUGAAGUGAUAUAAAUGUGACAUUAGAUUGUUUUAGAAAAAUUAUUAUUCUAUUAAUUUAUAUGGCUUGAUCAACUAUUUAAUUGAAUUUGAAUAACAUUAUAUACACUUAAGAAGUAUUUGCAUCAAUUCUUUCUAAACCAAAAUGAAAUAUGACUUUCAUUUGAAGAAUGGUUUUAGGCCCUAUAAUAAAGAAAUUUUCUUAAGAUAUCUGAGCAUUACUAUUAUCAUCACCACAUCCACCACCACCAUCAUCAUCUCCAUAGGAUCAAAUAAUUAAUGGCUGAUCAUAAAAUUUAUUGCUAAACUAUCAUUUUGAGUAAAAUUGAAUGAAAAGAAAAAAACAUGAACCCAAACAAACAUACCUCUUCAAGAUACUGCAAAUUGGCUUCAAGUUCAGUACUGUUGACAGUCAAGUUGGGACAGUCCUUAAGGCGUAUCUUUUCCAAUGCUGGCCAAAUUGAACAAUAAUUUUUUGAACAGAAGCUGACGAGUUCUGAGAGAUUUCGAAGUGUUAAUUCUCUUAACAAAGGGAGGGCGAGCAUCGUAUUUCCAUCUCCGACACUUAUUUCCCCUUCAUUAUGAUCAAACUUUGCUUCGACAAUAUAUUCCAGUCUCUCGCAUCCACUUACAUUGAGACUUUUAAGCUGCUCCAAACUUCUAGCUUGUGAUAACGUGAAGAUAUAUGUCAACUUGUUGCACAUAUGCACAUUCAAUUCUGUAAGAGUUUGGAGACUGAUCACAUGUUGGGCCGGCGCCUUCCAUAUCCACUUCAGUUCUGGUAAGUCCCACAUAGAUAACUCUGCUAAUCUUGAGAGACUCUUUCCAUGCGGCGACUUAGAGGCUUCCAUUAUGCAUUCUAAAUCUUCGCAAUCGCGGACAUCAAGACAAGUUAACUCAUUGAAGCCCCUUUCAUCUAUGCUUGGCACAAUAUUGUCACAACCUAUUAACCCACUCAAACGAAGAAAUUUCAGAUUUUGAUACAAUGCUGAAAAAAUAACGAGCGAGGUCGCCGCUUCAUGAGGGCAAUUCUCAAUGAUUAAGCUCCUUGUUUCAUCAUUCUUAAUGAUUAAGCUCCUUGUUUCAUCACCAUCUCCUUUACCUUUACAGAUGAUGUAUCUUUGCAAUUUCGGGAAUGUAAAGUGUUUUGGAAGACAUACAACAGAUCUGUCGGCUUGGGAGUUCAACUCAGCAAGCCUAGCAUUACUUUCUUCUGAACUCAUCCCUUCAACCUCCCAAUUUUUUAUCCGACCAUAAAAUUCUUCCAAUUGAGGAAAUUUUUUUAUCGUAAUGGGAGAAAUGGAGCCAGUAGCAAUAUACAGAAGUUUCAAUCUACGAUGUUCAUCCGACAAUUCUUCAAGAAUUUUAAUGGAAGACUUCUCGAGGAAAAGAAGUUCAAGCCUCUUCAACUUUCCAAGGAAAGACGCGUCACUCACCUCACAUCGAAUCAACUGCAGAACCUGGAGGUCGGUGAGGAUCUGAAGCGAUUUAAGUGAAAGAACUCCACCUAUUAUAGUGACAACUUUCAAUGCUGGCAUCCUUUCAAAAAAUUGUUCUGGAACUUGCAAUCGGUGGUCGUAUUCAGGAUUCUCCAAUCGCAAAAUAUGAAGGUUAGGGCAUGCCAAACCACUAGGAAGCUCUUCUUCUUUUUUAUUUCCCACCAAAGAGAUUCCUCUGUAUUGUUCCAGGCCUUCUUUCAUUACCCGUUCUGCCAAUCCAAUGCCAACUUUACUAAAAAAUUUCUUCUCCUCUAGAACUAUUGAGCCUAUCCAUAUGGCUACAUCACGAACUAUGUCAUGCAUUUUCACAGAUCUGUCAUUACCAGUGUCUAACAGCAGUGACGCAGCUUUGAGCGCGUUAAUUGUUCCAUGCAGUCGGCUUCUGGCAUUUUCUAUUGACGGAGCACAUUGAUACCAAAUAACCCCCACUGCGUAUCCAACCAAAUCCUCCAAAUAAAUCUCAUAAUCUUCUGGAAACAGAGAACACAACAAGAAGCAUAACUUGGACUCCUCACUAUUUAAAUUGUCGUAACUGAAUUUAAGACAACCGUAAACGUCUUGGUCAUCCUUGUCAAUACCUUCUAUUGCAUAGAGUUUUGCUUCCUUUAGGUUAUUUAGUGCUAGUUUCCAUUCAUCAGAUCCUUUUUCUCUUAGUGCACUUCCAACAGCUUCAAUAGCUAAAGGCAGCCCCUUACAUUCGUCGGCAACUUGUUUUGAAACACCAUCCAAGGAGGAGUCGUUUACAUUAAUACCGGCAUUCUUUUUUAGGAGAGUCAAUCCUUCUUCUGGUGUUAGUGUACCAAGUUCAAUCUGUGGGUAACAACCGAAAAAACCACAAAUUGACGUUUUGCGAGUGGUUAGAAGGAUUUUGCAACAAUUGUCUCUAUCACCAAUGGGAAUACCUAAUUUUUUCUCCAAGUCGAGUUGUUUCCAAACAUCAUCAAGGAUUAUGAGGAUUUUGCUGCCUUUACUCUCAGAAAACAUCAACCGCAAUCGAUCUGCUCUCUCUUUUUCAUCUGUCUCAUUUAACGCCCAGCCUAACGACUUUACCAGCUCACCUUGAACCUUUAUUAUAUCUGGAUCCUGAGACACAGUGACUAUCCCCACCUUAUCGAAAUCCUUUUGUUGCCGAAGUUGAUUGCCCACAAAUUUUGCCAGGGUUGUCUUUCCUACGCCACCGAGACCAUGCAAUCCCACCAUCUUUAUGCUCGCUUUUUUCAGGGCGUCAAUGAUCUGAUUGCGAGCUGAUUCUGUGGUCUCGAAGGUAGAAGAAAAAUAACUUGGUAAACUUAAUUCUCUCUCUAAUGUUAGAGGUUUAGGACGGGCAACUGUGCUGAAUUUGCUGCGGUCUUGUAGCAGAUCGGACAACUUGCUAGUCUUCUUUGAAGCUUUUCUACCCAGCCAGUAUCGCCAACCCCAAUUAGGACACCAUCCAUUAAGACAACUCUUCUUUUCAUCUAUCUUUGCUUUCAAAUUUCGAACGUCGGCCAUUUCUUUGUCUACAUCCUCGAGCCAUGUCUCGACAUCUUUCUCGACUACUAUAGCACGGUGUAUUUGUCGUUCUUGUUCUACUCUUUCAUUGAUGCCAUCUUUUUCCUUCUUCAAAUUGGUUUCUUUAUCCUUAAGUUCUUUAUCUAUGCUGUUGAAACAGAGCAGAUAGCGAGCUUGGUUUAUGGUUGCAUCCGCCAAUAAUUCUCCAAGCUUUGAUGCAACACCUGAUAAAAUUUCCAUGCUAUUUAUCUGCAAUUAACAAGUUGAUCUCAGUAUGCUAUAAGCAAAACAUCAAGGCUUGAUCACAAGAUCGAACGAGAAUAUUUAAUUGCUUUAAUUUUCUUGUCAUUGAAACGAUGUCUCAUACCUUCUUCCGUUUAUAUCUUCAAUUACUGCUGAAAGCUCUGGCUAGAGAGUCGCACAAGCUCGGAGAAAAUUAAAAGCUGCAUCUAGCAAUAUAAAUAAACAUGAGAUCAAAACAACAUAGGAUAUAUCUAGCUAAUUAACAUCAUAUAUAACUCCUUGUUCUCAGUCAAAUCUUUCAUUCUUAGGAGAUUAAAAAAAAAUUGAAAUAAUAACUGUUCAGUGACAUAGGAUUAGGAAGCAAAAGUAACAUACCAAAACGAGAGCAGCUAGCUCACAGAUCUGGUGACUUCCAAGAGCAUGAAAAAUGAUUGAGGUUUAAUAGCAAGGUCCGGGUCAUGUUUCAUAAGUUGCUAUUGACUUCGUGGCUUCGCUUUUAUUUAUUAUUAUUGUUUUUUUAAAUUCUAUAUCAGUGAGAAUUGAAAUGUGGAAAGUGAAAUGAUACACAUGCUUUAUCAUCUAUCAUGAGGGGUGAUUUGGUAAAACCGAUUUAAAAUAAAAAAGUUUAAAAAGAUGCUUUGUGUCUGACUGCUUGUAUUUGGGAUAUUUUUUGGGUUGUUGAGAGUGAGUUUAAUUAAAUAUAAGAUUUUUAUUUUUUUUAUAUAUUUCUUUUUAGAAUGAAUUUAAAUAUUAGUCUUGUUAAAUUCUUUCUUUUUAAAUGAAAGUAGAUUUUUCUGUAUAAAUUUUAGGUGUAUUUUAUAAUUAAUGUUCAACGAAUCUCUAGGUUAUAUUAUAAAUAUUUUUAUUUAAAAUCUCAACAGAUGUCAUAACACACAAAGAAAAAUACAUAUAUAUAUAUUGUAAUGUUUUAAUGAUAAAUCUAUAAAGUUAUUAAGUUAAAAAAUAAAUAAAUAAAUAAAUAAAUACAUAUUUUAAUGUACUCUUACCAUUUUGGAUUGCAAUAAAGUGAAAAAUGGGUUAAUUUCAAAAAAGAAAAGGUGACAGUGAGUUGUCAAUUUCAUCCUUGUCGGCCAAUAAUACAUCAACCUUUUGCUGAAUUAUUAUCACCGACAAAAACAAAUUAUUGAAUCGGGUCCCGCUGACAGACAGCUUAUGUAAAGUUACAUUCAUAAUAAAUUGAUACUUGUCUUUAUUAUAAAUUGUUCUUUUAUUUAAAUAUGCGUUCAUUUCUUCAAUUAAGUCCUCAUAUUCGUUCAAUUUAUGAUAAGAUCCUUGUAUAGGAGCAUAUCUGCAUAUGUAAUAAUUAUUCUUCUAUUUCAGAUAGUUUUUGUGAAAAAAAGACUUUUAUCAAUUAUUUAUGUUGACUAAUUCUUAUGUCUUUUUUUAUUACUUUUCAUAGCUCUAUAUAAAUGUUUGCUAUAGAAUUUGUGUUAUUUUGCUAUAAUAUAAUUUAUAUUGUAAACCUCUGUUCAUCUGUAAAUAAAAUGACAAUUUUUUUUGUUUACUCCUAAAAAAUAUGAAAAUAUUAAUUUACUCUCAUAUUUAUUUAGAAGACAAUGGCAAAUAAGGUCGCAUUGAUAAUUUUUUUAUUUACUUAUUAAUUAAUUAGAGUAAAUUAAUAUUUUCAUAAUGAGAGAUACAUUGAAGAUUGUCAUUCUUAGUAGAGGGUAAAUUAAAGUUUAUCUAAUUAAUUUAAAAUAUCAUUAAAAUUUAAAAUUCUAAUCUGGAUUAGAUUUUCNNNNNNNNNNNNNNNNNNNNNNNNNNNNNNNNNNNNNNNNNNNNNNNNGGGGGGGGGGGGGAACGUCCUUAUUCGGAUUAGACUCAGCUGGAAGAGGCACAUCCUUAGCUGGAUCAAUUUGUUCAAGAUUGGAUGCAUCCAUCGGUUUCAAAUUUGUCUCUUGUAAGUAUCAUCGGAUUUCUUUACUAAAAUUUAGAUUAUCAAUCACAUCUAAAACUUAUUGAAUGAUACAUUUCAUUUCUAUAAAAUUGAGUUACUAUUACCACCUCAAAUCUUAUAAAUUCUAGAAAAUAAUCAAGGCUUGACAUACUUUUAUUUAUGCAAAAGCAUAAGAAAAUAAUUCAAAGUACUAAUUAGUGCACUAUUACUCAAAAUUCUAGAAUAGAUUUGCUAGUUCUCUUUAGCCAUAGAUUGGUCCAUGAUUGGCACCGCAAUAGCUCAGAAUCACCUCAACGAUUGUUCCACACAGCCCAACAUGACACACUGUAAACUAGUCUAACAUGAACUUUCUGAGUGGCUUUCUAACAAUAGUCUUAGAGAAAGUGUUUAGUAGUAUGAAGUCUUCUUUUUUUAACAUAAAUGUUGGCAUGAUAUUCUUAAUAUAUUUCUAAAAUCAAAAUAAGAUGCAUAGAGGACGAUGAUAAUUUUAUUUCAUAAUUGAAUUUUUUGCAAAGAAAGUUUGAACAUGAGAGUGAUGAGAGAUGAGAAUAUUGAUGAUGGUGUGUACUUUAGAUGGAAAAAUAGAUUGGAAAUAUAUAUAGACAUAUUAAAAGAAAAAAAUUUGGUCUAUUUCUUAAAAGAAACAAAAAAUUAUAAACGCGGGUGUUAAAAUGUAUUCAGAAUUUAUAAAUUUUUAUAAAUAUGAUAAUCAUUAGACCCUUAUAAAAGUAUAGCAAAAAGUUUAAAAUUUUUUAAUAAAUGUCGAAGAGAUGGACGAAGAAACCAUCCACCAGUUCAGAAUUAAUAAUCAAAGAUAUGAGGACUUGAUUGAAGAAAUGGUGAAAAAUAAAAGGACACUGGGUUGCUAUCAAUUUCUACCGUGUAGGUUCAUAGCCGGGGAAAUAAUUGGGCACAAAUAUCUCGGAUGAGAAAUAACCAUUUUAUCCCGCAACCAUAUGUUUAUGGCCUCUAAAAAUUUUCACCUCUUUCACAAUCUGGAACCCGUGCUUACUGGCACAUGCACAAUACUUGGUUGCUACUUAUAGAGCGUUUUUAGAAUUGCAACGACAUGGUGCUCUUUGAUAAUUCAAAAAUCCAAUAUAAUUUAUAGAGAAUUACAGAAUUGUUUGUGGUACGUGAUAAUUUGCUGAUGCAAUGAGGCGCCGAAAUUCUUAUACAUGUGAUUUAAGUUAUAUAUGUAUAAUUAAGUAAUUAGAAUAUACUAGUUGGGGGUAUUUGUGUCCAUGAAAAUUUACAAAAAAGUUUAAAAUACUAGUUGGGGGUAUUUGUGUCCAUUUUAAUUAGAAAAAAAUGCUGUUUCUGAUGAAAUAAAUGAAAAUUGAACGUACAAUCUGCCACGAACACUAUUUAAUUAACCGUUUAUUUCCCCUUAAAUUUUUAAUCUCAAUGAAACAUAGAUCUAAUGGGAACUACAUAUAUAUAAAAAUACUAUAGAUUGAAGAAGUUGAAUUUUUCUUGUGUGUUGAGUAUUUUUAGUUAAUACGAAAGGAUUCUAGCAAGUUAAUACAAAAGUAUAUCAUAAAUUCAUUGUAGUACAAGAGAUUUUUUUUUUCCUUUGAUGUUAAUAGUUUUCGAGAUAAAAAAAAAUUAGGUGAAAGAAGAAGAUGAGAGAAGAAAAAAUGUUAAGAAUAGUUUUGGCAUUUUGAUGCGUUUUAUAGUGUAAAAUCUAUAUUUUAUAGUAUAAAGUGGUACACCCAAAAUUUAAUGAUAAAAUUUUAGGAAAAAAUUGCACUCGUCAAAAAAAAAAAAAGGCUCAACUUAGCCCAAAAUUUUUUUAUUAAUCGUCUAGUCGCUAAUGUAAUCUCCUUUUUAUGAGAUUCUUUGGCGUUUUAAUUUAGUCCAUUGUUAGCAAUCCUAAUAGCUUUUAUGUGCAUCUAUUUUUAUUUGAAAUAUGUUUCAAGCUUGAAUAAAAUCUGCGGGACAACUGGUAAGUAAUAAAGCUCAUCAUUUUUUUAUUUUGAAAAUAAAGGGAAUCACUUACACUUAGCAUAAUAAAUUACACUUAGCAUAAUCACUUACACUUACACUUACACUAUUCAAUUACCCUUUUUUUUUUUUGAACUUUUGAGUUGUUGUUUAAUUUGUAUUAUAAUUAAUUAUCAUGGGCCCACGUGCCAUUGUUUCCAUUUCAAGUUUCAUAAUUUAUCAGUAGAAAUGGAUUCCACAGACAAUUUAUUUUAUAAUUUUUUAAAAAAUUACCAAAAUAUAAUAAAUAAGGUAAUAAUAAUUAAUAAAAAAGUAGAUUUUAAGAUGGAAAAAUCUUUUUGUGUACUUAAUAAAAAGAUGAUAAGAAUGGGAUGCUUUUGGUUAAUUGGUUUACAUUCUCAUAUCUAUUUAUACUGAAAAAUUACAUCAAAAUUUAAUUAAUAAAUCAGUGAACUGCAGACUUAUUAAAUUUAAGCUAUUUUAAUAAGUCAUAAAUAUACUAAAUUAAAAUAGUAAUAAACCCAUUGUUACACAAUACUCUCUAUUAUAGCUGUCUCAUGGAAAGCCUUCACCAAUAAAAAGGAGGAUAGAGCACAUACAUCCAGUUUUUAUACCCUUUGAUGCUCAGUCGACACGUGCCAAUGCUAUAGACUAGCUUAUAAUCUACUAAGGUGACGCAUGCCAAUGCUAUAGACUAGCUUUUCAAAGGUUGAAGUGGGUGUACAUUUAGUAAAAAGACCUGCACAAUUAUAGUGUAUCUAUUUGACAUCAACUUUUUUUAUCUGCUGGAGCUUAUGAUUAUAGAAGAUCUUCGGUAAGAUGUGUUUGAUUUUAGAAAAUCUCCUUUUAUAUAUCCUCCUCUAACUUGUGUAAUAGUAGUAAACCCCUGCCCCCUUUUUAUGUCGUUUAGUAUUUUCUAAAUGGCCGAAGGAAAAUUGGUAAAAACUCAUUUAAAAAUAAAAAUAAAAAUCAAAGAAAUUCAAGAAGAAGCUUUGUAUCGGCCAUUUGUAUUUGGGGUAUUUUUUUGGUUGUUAAGUGAAUGAGCUUAAAUCUAAAACAUUUAUUUAUAUAUUUCUUGUUGGAAAAAAUUUAAAAUUUAUUCUUAUUAGACUUAUUCUCUUUAAAUAAAGGUAGAUUUUUCUCUAUGUGUUUAACGUGUAUUUUAAAAUUAAUGUUCAACAUAUCUUUAGAUUCUAUUAUAAAUAUUCAUAUCUAAAAUCUCAACAUAUUUCAUAAUAUAUAAAUAUAUAUAAAGAGAGAGAAUAACGACUAUAUAUAUAUAUAGAGAGAGAGAGAGAAAUGUUUGCGGGAAAUAGUUUUAAAGGUUUAAACUGUAAGCUUUGAAAGCCGUGAAGUUUUAAAAGUUUCCCGAAUUUUCCCACACUUUAAAAUUACUGACCGGAAAACUAUUAUAUAUAUAUAUAGUUUUUUUAAAAAUAGACAAUUUAUGAGUUAAACAACGGACAUUUUUGUCGGCCAAUACAUCAACUUUUUAGCUGGAUUAUUACCACCAUCAAAACUAAAUUAUUGCAAGCACUAGCAAAAAGCAAUCAAUGAUUUCGCAAUUUGGCUGUCAAAAAGCAAACUAGAUCACGAUUCCUCAAUUAAAAAUGGUGCUUUUUUUUAUUAAAUAAGUGAAAAUUAAACCAACAAUUCAAAAUAUAGGAUUGUAGAUGCGUAUAAACUGAAGAAUAAACUGAAGAAGGUAAAAUUUUUCGCGUGUGUAAAUAUUUUAGUUAACAUGAAAGAAUUCUAACAAAGUUAAUAUAAGAGUAUCAUAGCAGUACAAGAGUAAAUAUAUAUAUGUGUGUGUGAGUGAAGGAAGAAAAAAAAAUUAAGAAUAAUUUUGGCAUUUUGAUGGGUUUUAUAGAGUAAAAUCUAUAUGUUCAAAUAUGAUAAUUCUUUAAUUUAAUUUGGUGUUAUGAAAUAAAGGGCAUUUUAAAUAUGUUUUAAGUUAUAAAUAACUCCAUCCAAAAUUUAAAAAUGAAAUCUUAGGGGGUAAACAAUUUCACCCGAACUAACAAAAGCCCUAGCCCGGAGGCCCAGAGUAGCCGCGGCUUUUUUCACCAAUCUAAUUAUUUACGAGGAAUAUGAGACUGAGAUUCUCUACCACUCCAAUUUAUCGCAUUGUUAGCAAUCCUAAUAGCUGUUAUAUAUCCUAUUUUUAUUAAAAAAUGUGGAUCCGAAUAUAGAAAUUUGGGAUCCGCACAAAUCUAGAUGCAAGUGCAUUCGGAAAACCAGAUAUCGAGAUCCGAAUAAAUUUUAUUUUAAAUUAAAAAUUAAAUGAAAAAUUAAGAAAGUAAAUUUUAUUUAUGGAUUAAUGAUGUCGUUGUAUAUUAUUCAUGUUGAAUUAUCAAUUGUUGGAUUAUGAUUGAAUUUUAUUUGAUAUUAUUGGGCAAAUUAUUGAAUUUUAUUUUAAAUUAAAUAAAAAUAAAAAAUUAAAUUUUAUUUGUAGAUUUAUGAGAUUAUUGUAUGUUAUUCAUUUUGGAUUGUUAAUUGUUGAAUUAUGAUUAAAUUUUAUUUGAUAUUAUUAGGUAAAUUAUUAAACUUUUAAAUUAUAUAUUAAAUUAUUUAAUUUUAAUUUUUGCGGAUCUGAAUAUUCAGAAUAUCCACCUGCAUCGGUUACGGAUAAUACCCGCAUCUGGAUCCACAUCUUUUUCUACGAAUCCAAAUAUAGAAAUAUGAAUGCGGAUCUAAAUUCGGAUUUUGCUGACCCUAAACCUAAGAAUGAAUGUGCCUAAAGUUUUUACAACGAACAUGGAUCAUUCAAUGACAUGACAUGUUUUGCAGCUUUCAUUAGUAUAAUUGAAUAAUUAAUUCAUCUCUAUAUUCAGCUUACACCGUCUCAAAUUACAUGCAAAUACGAAAGUACACUUCUGAAUCGUUCACUUGAGGAAAAUUAAUUUUAACUCAAUAAGUCGUAAUUCUCCACGUAGAAUUUUAAUUCAAACCAUAGCAAAUUAGACAUAAUUCUAAUUUAUAUGGGAAAUAUAAUUAGCGAAGACACUCUUUAUAUAAACAUUAUUGUCAUAGGAUGCCAAACCUAAUAAGAUUCAAGGUCUUAACAUACUUCAUAUGAAAUUUGAUCUUGGCGCGUACCGACACGCAUAACAUCAAGACUCUACUUCAUAUAUUAUAAUGUAACUUCAUGGAUUUUUCGCUCUCUUGUGAAAUUGACAAUUAUAGGCGCUGUGUGGCAGUGGUACAUAAUAAAAUAAACGUUUAUUUUUAGAAUAUUAUUAUUUAUCUCAAUUUUUUAUUUAAUAGUUAAUUUUAAUCAAUUCUUAAACUGUCAUAAUCAAUUAAUUUUUUACAUUAUGGCAUCUUAAAUAAAUUUUGGAUCUGUAAUAAAUAAAAACUGGUAACGUUUGUUCUUUUAAAGCAUAAAACAACCGUAACAUUGGUUUUUACAUUUUGAAUUUUUCUUGCAUCACUAUUUAGAAAAAUGAUGUUAAAUCAACUCACAAAAUAUAUCAAGCCAUCUAAAAUCCAAAUAUUAUUACAUUUGUAUUUGCAUUGUUAAAUUGUUGGAACGACGGCAAAGCAAUUGAAAAGAUAUUAACAAAAAAGUAAAGAUUGGCCAAGGAUUAUUCAUGUUUAGGAAAUGCCUUAACUUUUGAUAUAAUCAUUGUUAUAAUUAUAUUGUAGAAAUAAUCAAUUACCUAAUGUUUGUGGUGGUAAAAAUUAUUAACUUGUUUUAGUAUACCCGUGUUUAUGGUGGUCUCCUUUUUGUCCAAUUCUGUACAACAAAAUAUUUGCAUGUUUUGAUAGAAAUUGGUUUAAAUGACAUUUGAAAUAGUAUAUCCCCAAACAAUUAACGAAAUAUUUGGAUGGUAGGAUGAAGUAAUAUAGUUUUACAAAUUACCAUAUUAGAGGUUAAAAAAAAUCAAGAGGUUACUAACUACAAAUUUUAACACAAAAAGUUUAAUUAACUUUUCUUUUUGAGAUAACAAAAUCUCUGGUGUUGAAAACAAUGAGGUUUGAGGUUCAAGCUUGAAUAUCAAGUUACAAUUAGUAGAUGGUCUUAGGACAAAUCAAAGAUUUCUUUAAAGACAAAAUAAUAAUUACAAGCAAUAGGAAUUUAUGGUAUUCAGAACAUGUAACCUUCGCACAUGAAGCUUGAAUCCAGAACAAGAAUCACAAGAUGCAGCUAGCCAAUCCUUCCAACUUCCAAAACCCCACAAAAUCUCUGUCAACAUGUCUGCUCUACUUCAAUAUUAAGCACAUUCAUAGCGGUAUCAACAGCUUACAGCUCCAAAAUAUUUUCCCCAAAAAGAGUGAGAGAUUUCACUGAAGCUAAGUUGUGACUUGUGACUUGUGAGGCCAUCUUUUUUUAUAGUAAUCGUACGCCUCUAAUGCUUUGCCAAGUGUCCAUUGAUAAUAUCACAAGGGCAAUUAAAUUGGUGUAUGUGUAUUACACCUCCUAAAGUCAUGUUAAGAUAGUUAGUGAGCCGAUAAAGUUUGUUGCACGUGUGAGUUGGUUAAGUCUGCUAGAAUUGUAAACAUGUAAAGCUGAGUCAGCAAGUUAGUUAAGGUUAUUAUGAAUGCUUAGAUUCAGCUAGUUAGUUAAGGUUAUUAUGAAUGCUUAGAUUCAGCAAGUUAUGGUGUUGAAAAUGCUGUUGGUGAAAGCUCAGCUGAUAGAUGUCAGGAGAAUCCAGCCUUUGUUGCUUGGAAAAGGUAGGAUCAAUUGUUAUUAAGUUGGCUCAUGUCCUCCAUCAGUGUUGAGAUACUUAGUCUUGUGGUAAAUUCUGAUUCUUCUCAUAAACUUUGGACUAAUCUUGAAGAAAAUUUUUGGAUUAGAAACUAUGGCUAAGAAAGCACACUUAAAAAUGAUGUUAAGCAAUCUCAGAAAGGGAUCAAUGACAAUAACUGAGUAUUUUGCCAAACUUAGAGCUGUAACUAAUAAACUUGCUCUAACUGGUAGCCCUGUUUCUACUCUAGACUUUAUUACUCAUCUAAUCUCUAGAUUAGGCCAGCCAUACUACCCUGUUGUUUUGUAUAUUGAAGCUAAUAUGAUGAAAAUAUUUGUCAAUGAAGCCUACUCUAUGCUUUUAACUCAUGAAGCAAGAAUUAAAUUUAAUCAUCCGAGUGCAAAUAAAGAAGCAAAGUUGAAUUAUGCUGCUAACAUAGCUUAGGCUGGACCUAGUAAUAACAAUAAGAAGUCUAGUAAUCAAGCUAAUUACUAUCAGGGCAACCAAGGUAACUGGAAUAGAAAUGCUAAUUGGUGUGGUAACAAUGGAGGAAGAGGUGGCUUUGGCAGAGGUUUUUCAGGGCAAGGAAGGAGUAAUUAGAAUAAUGGUGGUCAUUGGAACAAUGGACCUUGGAGUAGUAGUCGAGCAGGUUAUAAUUGUUCUGAUAUAAACAUUAUGACAUGGUUGUUGGUGAACCUGUAAACAUAACCACAAAAGUAAGAAGACAUAAUCUUUUUAUAAGAAACUCAAAAAUGUAUUAAUGAUGAAAAUUUUAAAACAGAUAGUGGACCAGCUGUUCACUAAGAAAACAAAAAAUUGAAUAUUAGUGCUAUAAAAAGGCACACCCAAUCUCACCCCUAUAAAAGGCUAGAAUCAGCUACAAAUCCCUAUCUCAAAACCCCAUCCCAGUUUUAGAUGAAUGAAGAAAAAAGAUGAAUCUUGAAACUCCUUAGAAACUGAAGCCCAAAGUGAAGCAAGAAGAUGAACUCUAUCCCAAGCAAGCAAUAUGGCAUAUUUCUCCAUUAAUGGUUCAAAUAAAGUGAAUGGCUUUCUCUGAUGAAUGGGAAUUGUCAAGAUCAAUAGUCAAACUCACGCAAAGUAAACGGACUUAAUUCUCAGAGGCUACUCAUUCUAAGUCUUAAGUCUUAAAGAAAAUUUUUCUAAUUUCUAAAGAUUAUAUGGGGAAAAAUCAUUAUUUUCUAACAUGGAAAAUUUGAUACGGUGUUUAAUGUCCGAUCACAAUCAUAAUAUGAGUACUAACAAAAACAUCUUUAAUCGGCAUGGUGCGAGUAAAACACCAUCACUUCAUCUUUGAUGGAAAGAUGAUAAUAUAAGGAGAUGGUGAAAUGGUUUUAGUCCCUGGUAGCUUGUAAUUAAAAGAAAACAAAAAACUACACUAUUAUUAAUGAUUACCGAAGCUACAGAAGUAUCAAAAUCGGAAAGCAAACAAUUGCAAAACACAUCAAUGACUGGAGGUUAGGUUCUAAAACUUCCGCAUUUAAUUUUCAGAGCAUGUUAUGUAUUAUUCAAAAAUAUGCUUUCACUUCAGGCACUUGACCAAGACGCAUUAAACAUAAAACGCGGCGUUUUCAUGGACUAGUACAUUCCAUGCUUCGAAAGUUUAUGUUUUAGACUGAUUGGUUUGAUACAUUAUUUGUUUAUUGCGUUUUUCUUGCUUUAAAUAUUAUGUUGGAUUGAUAAGUUUUGUACACAUUUUAUAUUGCUCGCACUAAAUAAUUUAUGACAUUUAAAAAACUAUCAACCGUCUAUCAAAAGAUUUCUACUAUAAAUAUAUAUACACAAAAAACUUUUAAUUUGGUCAAUUUGUUCUCUUAUUUAUUUUUGUUCUAUUUCUCUUUUCCUUUCCUUUCAUUUUAUUGUUUUACGGUACAAAAUAAAAAAAAUAACCUUAAAAUUUAAGAGUAAAAUACUCAUUUUACUAAAAUUCCAUUUAAUAUUAUAAAGCUGUCAAAUGUCAAUGGCGUAGAACACGAGUGAUACAAAUUAAAAACAAUAAAUUGAAAGUUUUUAUGCAUUUUCCUUUUAUUUUUUUUUAUAGUCGAUUGAGAUUUCCCUUUAUAUUUUUAAAUUCAAUAGGUUUAGACCGUUUAAAAAAUCUUAAAUUAAAAAAACCCGCAGUGUAAUAACAAACUCACAUCAAACCCUGUACACUGUCAUCCCUAAUUAUAUUUACCACUUCAUACUCACAGUGAUAAUAACUGUGUAUCACAAUUGAUUUUGCAUACGGGUAAAAGUUCCAAGUCCGGAUAUUUAGUUAAUGAAAUUUGAUGAAAAGGGCAUGAAAGAAAAUAAGAAAUUAAAUAAUACAGGAGGAAUUAAUCAUUACAUCUUUAGUUAAUGAAAAUUGAUGAAAAUAUUUCUGCAGACGUGAGCCGUAAUUAUAUUACCGCUAAGAAUGAAGCAGAAGAGUUUCCCCAAACAAGCUAAAACACAGCACUUUAAUUUAAAGAAUUUUUAUAUCACAGUACCGGUGCAAAAAGUUUAAUGCAACAACAUACAUUAAGUUAAUUCCAUAAUCUAUCCCCAAAGAAAGACAAACACAAGCUUAUAAGAUUAAAACUUUGGAAAACAUUAAAGAGUGAGACAAAAUUGUGUAAUCUUCAGAGUUUGGAGCCUAGUUCAUCCAGGAAAGCAAAAGAAAUAAUAAUAAUAAUAAUAGUGGUGGUUUGAUCUCAAAAGGUGGCAUCAAAGUGGUAACUUUGAGGUAUUGGAAGCAAUAACGUCUUCAACUUUGUCCUGAUUUCAAAGUCCCUUAAACCCAUCCGCCAUCAAUGGAUUGAAUGCUUCCAUUCAACCCAUCAUCCACAAAAUCACCAACCCGUUUCACCUUCAUCUCCUUGGGCUUAACAGGGUACUUUCCAGAGAAGCAAGCAAAACAAAAAUUCCGAGAAUCAUCGCCUAACAACUAGUUCAAGCUGUCAAUCGGCAGAAAAGCAAGCGAAUCACACCCAAUAAACUCCCUGAUUUCCUCAACGCUCAUCCUGUUGGAAAUAAACUCCUCAGUACUUGUCUACUCCGUAGUAACAAGAAGCUAUGAUUGGUGGGCUUGCAAUUCUCAUGUGAACCUCUUUAGCUCCAGCCUCCUUAAGCAACCUAACAAUUUUUGAUGAAGUUGUUUCUCACACUAUCGAAUCAUCCACAACCACAACUCUCUUUCCCUCCAACCACAACCUUACAGGAGAGAGCUUAAGCUUGACACCAAAGUCCCUAAUUUUCUGGGAAGGCUCAAUGAAAGUUCUCCCAACAUAAUGUGACCUUAUCAACCCUUGUUGAAAUGGCACCCCGGCUUUCGCAGCGUACUCAAGUGCAGCCACCACUCCAGAAUCUGGUACUGCAAUCACAACAUCACACUCAACAGGAGCCUGGGUAGCAAGUACUUCCCCAAAAUGAUACCUCGAUUCAUAAACAGACCUUCCAAAAACAACAGAAUUAGGCAAAGCAAAAUAAAUAUGCUCAAAGAUGCACUGCUUAGGUUCAGGGUGAGGCAUCAAACAAGGUGAUUGAACCCCAUCUUCAUCCACCAUCAAAACUUCACCGGGAUAUACCUCUCUCUCUCUCUCUCUCUCGUAUGUGGCCUCAAUCAAAUAGUGCACAAGUCUCUGACGCAAAAACCAGAGCACCAUUACUCCUCCUACCCAUCACCAAUGGCAUAAACCCAUACGGGUCACGAACCGCAACAAGCUUAUCCUCAGUAACAAACACCAUUGAAUAAGCACCCUCAAGCUUCUCACAAACAUCCAAAAUCCUCAAAAAGAACGGCCUAGCUUUCGAUAUCGGAAUCAAAUGGAGAACAACCACAGUAUCAGAACUAGUAUUGAAAAUGGAUCCAUUAUCUUCAAGCUUAGCCCUCAAAGUAUUAUAAUUAACUAAUGUGCAACACCAACAGAACCAAACCUGUACCCAGCAACAAAAGGCUGCACAUUCUUAAGCAUAGAACUACCCGCUCAAAGAAAAAACAGAGGAGGUGUGUGGAGGGAGACAGUGGCGAAGGGUACUUUAAGUAGAGGGGAACUUGUUCUAGGUUUUUUUCUGGAAUUGUGAGGAAAUCUGAUCCUGUGUUCAUGCAUAUGAUUCAAUUACUUAUAGGUGAUAUUGUUGUGUCACCACAAAAUCUAAUUGGGAAGCUUCAGCUGUCAAUUCUUUUCUGAAAGAAAUUGAGAGAAAAUAUUGUUUGGUUGCUGAGAAAAUAUCUCAGAAAAUUCUCUAACAGCCCCCCUCAAACUCAAAGGACAAGAGUGAACAUUGAGUUUGGCCCUCAAGUAAUUAAACUGUAUGAAGGAAAGAGGUUUAGUCAUUAUGUCUGCAACUUGAUCUGCACUUGCUAUAUAUUGAAUGCUGAGCUCCUUAUUAAGAACCUUGUUGCGAAUAAAGUGUAUGUCAAUCUCAAUGUGUUUUGUUCUGGAAUGGUAAACUGGGUUCUUGGCCAAUUCAGCUGUACUAAUGUUAUCACACCAAAUAAUAGGUUUAGCUGUGCAGCAUACUCCAACUUCAGCAAACAAGGACUACAACCAAGUUAAUUCUGCACUAGCUGAUGCUAAUGCCCUGUACUCACUCUCGGCACUUGACCUAGCUAUUACUCCUUGCUUUUUAGAAGACCAUGAUAUAAGAUUAUUACCCAGGUAGAUACAAUAUGCACUCACUGAUUUCCUGUCAUCUAAAUCACAUGCCCAAUCAGCAUCUGUAAAUCCAGUAAGCUCCAUAUUGCCUUCUUUGAUGAACUUUAAACCAUAGUCCUGAGUGGCCUUUAGAUAUCUUAAAACCCUUUUACAUGCCAUGAGAUGCUGUAGUGUAGGAGCAGAUACAUACUGACUGAGUUUGUUAACUGCAAAAGCAAUCUCAGGUCUUGUCAAAACCAGAUACUGCAUGCUUCCAACAAUGCUUCUAUCUGCUGUACCGUACAUCCGCCUUGGCCGUACAGCAGGAACUGAACACGCUGAACAAAGCAUUUUUUUUUUUUUUGGAUUUUUGGAAUUUUCCAAGAUAUCAUCCACAUAUAUCAACACAAGAAUCAUGGAAGUAUGACUCCUUUUCAAAAACAGAGAUGUAUCAGAAGUAGUAUUAGUGAAUCCCCACUGCAGCAAGCAACUCUUAAGUUUAUCAUACCAAGCUCGAGGAGCUUGUUUAAGUCCAUAAAGAUACUUGUGCAAUUUACACACAUAACCAGGCUUUGUGUUGUCAAUAAAACCUGUUGGCUGAGACAUAUAAACUUCUUCUGUCAAAUCCCCAUUGAGAAAUGCAUUAUUGACAUCAACUUGUCUAAUUUUCCAUUUGUUCAUCACUGCUAAGCUUAAUACCACUCUGAUAGUUGCUGGUUUAAUAACUGGACUAAAAGUUUCAAAGUAGUUUACCCCUGCAAUUUGUUGAAAACCUUUGGCAACAAGCCUAGCUUUGUAUUUGGCUACACUCCCAUCAGUGUUGUAUUUAAUCCUAUACACCCACUUAUUAUCCACAAUCUGUUGAUCAGUCUCUUUAGGAACCAGAGACCAAGUAUUAUUGUGAACUAAGGCAUCAUACUCAUCUUGCAUAGCCUUCACCCAUCUGGAAUCACUCAAAGCUUCUUGCACUGAAUCUGUUUCUUUGUGAGUGAGAAUGGCUGCAUACACUUUUGGUUUAAAAAUGCCAGAUUUGCUUCUGGUGGUCAUAGGAUGAAUGUUGGAUUGUAUUUGAGGUAAGUCAACAGUAGGAGUUAAUGAUGUUGUAUUAUCAGAAGCAGAGGCAGAUAAGAAAUGUUGUGUAUUAACAGGUAGAUGAGUUUGAGAACUUACUUGCUGUGAAUUUUGAUCAUUUGUUGGUUGUGCAGGAUUUUCUAAGUGAGUUGAGUUGCUGCUGUCAGGGUUUGCAGAUAAGGAAUAACCAGUGCUAUUUUCAGUAAAUGAUUGAACAACAGGCAAAGUGGAAAGAUGAUAUAUUUGCUGAGGAGAAAAGGAAGUAGAAGAAAGAGGUGAUGAUGAUGACUCAGUGAAACAAUGAAAGCUAGAAUCAGUAGAGUAAGGAAAAGUGAGUUCAUCAAAUGUGACAUGUCUUGCUAUGUAAAGAUGACCUGAAGGAUGUAAGCACUUGUAACCUUUGUGUGAUGAACUAUAUCCUAGAAAGAUACAUUUGCUGGAAUGAUAGUCAAAUUUGUGUUGGUUAUAAUCCCUCAAGUAAGGAUAGAAUGCACAACCAAAACACUUAAGCAUAUCAUAGUUGGGUUGGUGUUUGAAAAGUUUCUCAUAGGGAGACAAAAGUUUGAGAACAACAGAAGGCAAUCUAUUUAUGAUGUACACAGCUGUAUGAAAUGCUUCCCACCAAAAUUUAAAAGGUAAUUUAGAUUGAGCUAGCAGUGUAAGUCCCAUUUCAACAAUAUGCCUAUGUUUUCUUUCAACCAAUCCAUUUUGAUGAUGAGUGUAUGGGCAUGAGUGUCUAAAAAUGAUACCACACUGAUUUAAGAACUCAGUGAAAGGUCUGUACUCACCCCCCCCAAUCAGAUUGUAACUGCUUAAUGGUGGUUUGAAACUGAUUUUCAACCUGUGUUUUGAAAAGCUUAAAGACACUUAGAGCUUCAGACUUAAACUUUAGAGGGUAGAUCCAGGUAAACCUGCUAAAAUCAUCCACAAAACUGAUAUAAUAGUGAUAUCCAUCUCUAGUGUAGACAGGUGAAGGACCCCAGAGAUCUGUAUGUAUCAGUUCUAAAAACUUAGUUGUUUUGGUUGUGGAUGAAGGGAAAUGAAGCUUAUGGCCUUUGCCCAUUUGACAAGCUUCACAGAUGUAUUGCAGUGCUUGUGUUAUUUGAUUAUCAGAAAAAUUUGCAGACUUGAUGUUUUUGAGAACAUGCUUUAAGAUAUAUUGAUUGGGAUGACCAAAUCUAUUAUGAAACAAAGCAAUCUUAUUCACUGAUGUUGUACAAGAUAAUGCAGUAGAUGAAUAACAAGAUUUUGAAUUAAAAUGAAAACAUGACAGCAUUGACAUUGGCUUAUUUGAACUGAUCUGAGAUAGAAAAGAUGAUUUAGAGAAUGAGUAUGGUUUGAAUAACAGCCUGUAUAAUCCUCUUUCAGCAAUACCCUGCAGCAGAACUUCCCCCUUCAGAGCAUCCUUCACAUAACAUAUAUUUCCAAGAAAUUCAACAGACAAAUGGUUAUCAGAUGUGAGUUUAGAAAUACUCAAUAAAUUUUUGGUAAUUGAAGGGACAAGAAGAAUAUCUUUCAGUACUAUGUGUGGGUAUUUGUGUUGAGCAAAUGAAGUUUUAAAAAAAAAUUUUGCAUCACCAACAUGAGUUAUGGGCAAACCUUGUCCAUUUCCAAUGAUAAGCUGAUCAGAACCAUUGAAUUCCUCUCUGACCUGCAUAUUAGCCAUGUUGUUGGUUAAGUGAUGAGUUGCUCCACUAUCAAGAUACCACCCUUCAUCAGCAGGCCCUUCAAAAUUUCCAAGAUAAGCAGCUCCAGUAGCUCCAGGUGCAGAAGACAUUUCAGAUGAACAAUGAGGCAUAGAAGAAUAUGUCACUGGAUCCAGAUUGUAAGACUGAUAAUUUGAGCAGUUCAUAGCAUAAGGAUCAUCAAAAUAUGGUGCAAACUCAGCAUGUGAGUCACAUGUAGUCAUAUAAGCUGACUUAGGUCCUCUUCCUCUGCCAAAAUGCCUUGACUGUGGCACAUAAUUCUCAAUAUAUCUAUGCCAACAAGCAUCAGCUGUGUGCCCUGACUUAUGACAUAUCUGACAAACAGGAAUGUUAUCAUCUGAUUCAGCUCCAGCUGACACAAAACCUUGACCAUGAAGCUUAGGAUGUGAUAAGACUUUGUGAAACUGCAUUGGCAUAGAGUUGCCUCUUCCAAAAUUAUGACCAAUGUUAUUAAAGCCUCUAGGAUAUGUAUUAAACAUCAUUCCUCUUCCAGCAUUUCUGUUUCCAUUAUGAAUUUGUCCACGAUAUCCUCCAUAACCAAAACCUCAUCUUCUAUUAUUCCCUCUGACUUGAGAAUAAUUGGAAUUCAUCACUCCAUAGUUAGCAUUGAACAUGACUUUAGUAUUCUGAGUGGUCUGACUUUGUUCUAAUCGUGCCUCAUGUGUUAACAGUAAGGCAUAAGCAUCAUCAUAAGACAUCUUAUUAGCUGUGAUAAUAGAUGCAAGAUCUAGAUAACCAGUCCCUAAUCCAUUUAGAACUUGCAUUAACAGAUCCCUUUCUGACAUAGGACUACCAGCACAGGCAAGUUUAUCAGCUAAUAUUUUGACUUUUAAGCAAUAUUCUUCAACAGACAUGGAUUCCUUUCCAAGUACAUUCAAUUCAUAACGAAGUUGCAUUAUUUUAGCUUCAGACUGAGCUCCAAAUUGUUUCUCAAUAGAUCUCCAAGCAUCUCGUGAAUUGUCACAAUUAAGAAUAGAACUGAGAAUAUCUUCAUUAACUGAUGAUAACAGCCAGCCAAGUAGUAUUUGAUCCUGAGCUCUCCAAUUUAUGUAUGCUGGAUUAUCUACUUUCUGCACUGAUCCAUCAACUGUUGUUUGAAUGAUAUGUUGCUCUGGUAUGAUCUGAUUUUCAGAUAUGAAAUCUUCAAGCCGAUUUCCUCUGAUUGAUGUAAGAACUUGUUUUCUCCAGAUUAGGAAAUUAGAUCGAUCUAGUUUUAUUGGAUUACUAAAUGAGAAUGAGAUCUGUGAAGUUUGAUUUGCAUUUGUUGAAUUUGAAAGUGUUGUUAUGUUGCUGGAACUAGCCAUAUUGGCUCUGAUACCAUGAAAGAAAUUGAGAGAAAAUAUUGUUUGGUUGCUGAGAAAAUAUCUCAGAAAAUUUCCAGAGAACUUUCGGAUUUCUUGUAUUUAUUUUUCUUAGAAAGAAAUGUUAUGAUUACAACUUAUUUAUACUUAAAGCUCAAGGAGUACUAAAGCUAAUGACUAACUAAUUCAGUAGGAUCUACACAUGCAUAACCACAGCUCGAUAUACAGAGUAAUCACACCAGACUGUUAACUACUUAAGCUGAGGUGGCAGCUGAGCUGUCAUUCUGCUUACAUUCAUCUGACGUCACCAGCUUGCUGGUUUUCCUUAGCUUGUGCAGCUUCCUCUUUUCUGCACAAUGAGCAUCUCUAACAUUUUCCAAGGGUUAAUUAGGUAGAACUUUCAUGUCGUCGAAUUUAUUUGGAGAUACUUUAGAUUUUUUUUCCUUGUGGGACAUGAAAAUUGAUGCAUGUUCCAAUGCAUUGCUCCUACCAUAUUUGGAAUUAAACUUAGUUUGUGUUCUCCUAUUCCGAAAGCAAAACUUAUACUUACUGUAUAAGUGAUAUUCUAAUAAGUAGAAAUUAAGAACCAUAACAAACUUGAUGAUUCUAAUUUGCUAGAAAUAUUGCAAUCCAAAACUAAGAAAGUUCAAACCAAUUAUUAGAAGAAAAAAGUAGGACGGAAGCUCCCAUAAUAUUGUUAUGUGUUGUAUGUUUUCAGUUUGUAUUUCCCAAUCAAUAAGGAAAAGUAAGUACACAUGUUACAAAAAUUUAAUAAAAAAGAUUGGAGGUGACAAAACCUUCAAUCUUCUAAUUAACUUUCUCUGCAUUGGAAUUUCCUUAGUUUGGUAGAGAUUGCUUAAUUGGUGUAUCUAUUAUAAACACUGUAAGUCAAAGUUACUGUUUUAAUUGUUAAGAAAAGUUAGAAGAAGAAAUUUUUGCAUAAGAGAAUUGGGUUUAAAUUGAGAAUUCUUUAGGAGGAAAUGAGUCUAAAUUCUAACACGAUAAUUUAGCACUAUAUAUAUAUCAUUAAUUGGGUGAAAAAUUAGGGUACCCGUAUGCCUAUGUUGUAACAGUUGUAAGGUACCACUAAUUUUUGUCUUUUGUGAUGUCAAAUUUCAUUUAAUCUCUUUUUUUUAUUUAUAGUUUAUUUAUAACGUUACGUGUUUUGGCAUGUGACUUUUAAAAUAUAAUUUUAUUUUAUUUAAAAUUAUUUAUUUUUUUAUAAUUUAUUUAUAAGUUUAUGUGGUUUGGCUGAUGAUCUAUUCAAAUGUAAUUUUAUUUCAUUUAAUAUUAUUUAACUUCUAAAAGAACAAAUAUAACAAUAAGCCUUUAACUAGAUAAUAUUAACUAAUAUUUUUAAUAAAAUAAAAUAUUAAAAAUAUAUUCUUUUAAAUAAAAUAAAUAAUAUUAAAAAAUAAUAUUUAUUUUUUAGGACUCACAAUUGCUUAUUCUAUUUUAUUUAAUAUUAUUUAAUUUUGAAAAAUAAAUAUAAUAAUAAGCUAUGACUAAAUAAUAUUAAAUAAAAUAAAAUAAAUAUUAUUAAAAAUAAUAUUGAUUUUUUGAGACUCAUUACUGAUUAUUUCAUUUUAUUUAAAAUUAUUUAGUUUCAUGAAAGAAUAAAUAUAAUAAUAAGUCUAUGACUAUAUAACGUUAAAUAAAAUCAUAUAAAUAAUAUUAAAAAAUAUUCUGCUGUACGGCCAAGGCGGAUGUACGGUACAGCAGUUUUUUUUUCCUGCAAUCGCCGAAUNNNNNNNNNNNNNNNNNNNNNNNNNNNNNNNNNNNNNNNNNNNNNNNNNNNNNNNNNNNNNNNNNNNNNNNNNNNNNNNNNNNNNNNNNNNNNNNNNNNNNNNNNNNNNNNNNNNNNNNNNNNNNNNNNNNNNNNNNNNNNNNNNNACCGUACAUCCGCCUUGGCCGUACAGCAGAUAUUAAGUACAACAAUAAGUUUAUGUACGGUACAGCAGAAAUGAAAUGAGAAUAAAUAAUAUUAAAUAAUAUUUUUAAUAAAUAAAUGAUAUUAAAAAUUAAUUUUUUAAAUAAAAUAUAUAAUAUUAAAAUAAAAUUUAUUUUUUAAGACUCACUACUAAUUAAUCAACAUAAAAUUUUAAACAAUUUGGACUUAUGUGAUAAAAGUUUUAAUUCUUUAGCUCUUUUGCGUUUUUGAUAAAAAGCAGGGAGCAUAAUGUUAAUAUUCAAAUAAACAAAUCUCUACCCUUCAAUCUAUCUUUUCAUUAAAUCCAAUGAUCAAGAAUUGAAAUCAUAAAAAAUAAAAUUAGGUGGUACCUUGCAACUGUUGCAAGGUAGUUAAGUCCGAAAAAUUAAUUUCCCUCCUUUGAUGUGAUUUUGAUCGUUUAUUUUUAUAUGAUGGUAAUUUCUUGUUUAGAGUGAAGCUAAGGGUGGGUAAGGUUCGGUUCGGAUCGAAAUUAAGUAGAACCGAUUUAAAUCUGUUAUUUUAUAAAAAGAACCGAAUAAGAACUGAAUUCAAUAAGAACCGAACUCAAACGAAUCUUGUUAAAUCGGUUCGGUUCGGUUUUUUCGGUUUUGGGCCUAUUAGGCCUAUUUUGAAUUUCUAAAUUUUUAGCUCAUUUGGCCUCAUGAAUGUCAUAAUUGUUUUCAACAAUUAAUUCAUCCUAAUUUCAUUACAAAUAUUAACAAUAAAUACAAAGUAUUCAAAACACAUUUUAUCACUAAUAUCUUACUAACUACUAAUUAGAUACUGACUACUCACAAAAUAUGAAAUAUUAAGAUUUCAAAAUACAUAACCAAACUCUAAUACUCCAUCUACAUAAACAUAAUGUUGUAAAGACAAAUAAAAAUAACAACAGUGAUUUUGUUCUUCGGUUCGGUUCUUCGGUUCAGUUGAGUGAAUCGAAUACCGAACCAGUAUUUCGUUUUUUUAUAAAUAAUAUAUUUCAGUUUUUUUUUAAAUUAAAACCGAACCAAAUUAGAACCGAAUUGUCGGUUUGGUUCGUUUUUUUAAGAAUACAGUUUUUUUGUCCAGUCCUAAGUGAAGCUAUUGGCACCAUUUCGCUAUAUUUAUAAAAUUCUACUUCAACUAAAAUUACACUUAAAGACAAUAGAAUUAAACAAACAUGUUUUUUUUUUCCAAACAAAUUACUUACAUUCAUAAUUAUUUUUCUUCUAAUUUUCUUCAUGUUGCUUCGUAUCUAAGUAAAAUAAAUUGUAUAAAUUUAGAAUAAUCUAUUAUUCUUUUUAAAUUUCUUAUUGAUUAAAUACUUUUGUGCUUAAGAUUGCUUUAAAAUUAUAAGAUAAAAUAUGUGUAAUUUAAGCCAAUGAUUAACAUUCAAAAUUUUAUCUCUCAGAAACGUUUUUAAUUUGUGUACAGGGUAACAAUAAAAUCGUAAAAGAAAUAAAAAAUAGCAUAACACUACUUUGAGUUUAGAAAACAAGGUUUCAUGAGGGGUGCAAUAGUUCAACUCUUUUGUGUAAAGUUUUAAGAUGAUGGUAUCCGUAGCUUAGUUUUUCCCUAAUUAUUAUAUUAAAAUGUAAUAACAAUGCUGAUCACGCCAAUCUCAUGGAGGUCAAAGAUUUUGGUCAUGCCGCAUGAAUUAGUGCUUUUGGUUGGCAAAUACUUGUAUAAAUUUAUUUACAUUAAAUAAUUUGACCAAGACUACGUAAGGCGCCGCCUGGAGACUGGAGUCAUCGUAUUUUAUACGUCAAAAGCGCGUUUCAGUUCAAUAAGCCAUAAAUGUCGUUUAAUAUGCUCAUUUUGUACUUUUUUUUAAUAAAAAAAUUAUUUAUUUUUUAAAAAUAUUGUUUAUUUUUUUUUAAAGGUAAAGAGGUGGGUAAAAUCUAAAUUCAAUUUUUAUCCCUAAGAUUUGAACUCAGGUGAAUAGCCAAAUGUAUAAUAACAUGUAUUUCGAAUUUAAUUUUAAAUGAUAUGCAAUUCGUUAAGUGAUUGUUAAUUUUUUAUAAGAUCAAAAUGAAUUAAUUGUAUUAUCUCAUUAACUAAUUGAUAAGUGCCCUAUUAUUUGGGAUAACUUUUGAAUAAAAAAAUUGUGAUGGAUGAAAUAUUCUUUUGAGAAUUUAUUGACUUAUCUCAUUUAUGACUUAUUGUUGCAUUUAAGUGAUUUUGCAAAUAAUAUUAUUGUUUUGACAAGUAAGUUUGGAGUAAAUAAUACAUAUGGCAAGUGUUAGGUUUGUUAUUGCAUAUAUUUUGUGGAUCCAUUUUAAAGCCAAAAAAAAGGCAUUUCUAUUCAUUAUGAUCCCAGAUAAUUUCAAGCCAUAUGUCAUUAUUGGGAUAAAAAUAAAGUAAAAUGGUUAAAACUAUUUUUAUGUAAUUUAUAAAAAUUAAUGAAGCAACUACAAAAAUUUUUAACCGAAAAACAAUUGAAAUGUGUGUGGAAAAAGAAGAAAAAAAUAAGGCAUUUAAAUAUCUUCUUAAAAAAUACGAUUGAGUAAAAUCAUUUUAACAGAAUGCUCUUCCAAAUACAAUUCCACAUUUUUUUUUAUUGCAGUGGGAUAUUCCAAAAUUGGCACAACUCAUUAAGAAUUCGGCAACUCAAAUUUUAUUUAUCACUCUAUGCAUUUGAGAAAUUAAAAAGAAAAAAAAUUCAUAUAUCUUCUGUUCAAAAGAAACCUUGGUAAAUAUUGUAAAACAAAUUACCAAUUUUUUUAAUUUAUGCCAUUAUAUCGUCGCUAUUUUCUCGCCCACUUUCUUAAAAUAGAAUCAAUAUUCAUUGAUGGGUUGGGUUCCAGAGUAAGCACCAAUUCAGUAAAAUGGUUUUAUAGCAGAAAAAGCACUUGUAAGACAUUCAGGACACAUUUUUCAAUUUUGUCUUUUGAAAAUGAGUCUUGAGUUUCCGCAAGCCAAGAAGAAUGGCUAAAAAAUGUAUGGUAUCAAAGAAAGAGAAACACACACACAUAGAAACACACACACACACAGAGAUUAGUGGGGAGAUAUAUAUAUAUAUGUGUGUAAUUUGUAUAUAUAUCCCCAUUAAUUGUUGAUAGUCCAACGGGUGAGUAUAUGCAAAAGGAAAAAAUUGGCUGUCCUUUAAGACAAGAUUGACUGUCACAUGAAAAUGUUAGCACACUUGCCACGCAACAAAAAUAAAGAUUCCAAGAACAACUUUAUGGUCCCCUUUCUAAUGACGGGAUUAGUAGUAGCUGCAAAUUCAUAAAUUUCAUUUAUGAGUUUAUAAAAUCUCACUUCACAAAAUCCAAAAAUAACCAAUACUAUCACACCAAAAGUAAAAAUUAUUGCUGUCACGACAUUACACACUUUCUUUGCUAUCUAGAAAGCUAUAACAUUUGGAAGUUCUUCAAUACAAAAUGCAUACUACUACUAAAUUGGCCCAAUUAGUGCCCAUCGAAAAGGCCAUCAAUUUAGCCACCAAAUUUGCCAAAGUUUUAACAAUUGAAGAAACAAUGAACGCAAAAGGAAUAGGUAAAUUUUAAAGUUGAACAAACCUUGAAAUACAUACAACAAAACCUUGAAACUUUAGUCUUCACAAUUUAAGCACGCAAUAAUAUUAAGUAUCCACCUGGAAAACAAGUAUAGAACAAAGCUUGUUAGCUUCUUGGGCAUUAACUAUGAAUGAUGAGUAAAAUUAAAAAAGCAAACAGAGAAAAUUAUGACAAGAAGAAAAGCAAACAUUUAAAAAAAAAAUACUAGUAGGAAAAUUUUGGUAAAACUCCAUGGCUUAUCUGCAAAAUUAAUGUUAAUGUGUAUUUUUAUGCAAACAGGGUCUCUUGAUUUGAGGAUGAAUCAAUCCGCUAUCACAAACGAAAACAUGAACCAACCAUAUAUAGAGUCAAUUAAUUAAAGUUCUCAAGAGCUUACCUCUGCUCUAGAAUUCUCGGAAUCAUCUAACUCCUUCUGAAUUUGCACGAAACUUUGGACAAUCAUGAACUUCUUUAUAGAAUCCAGAUGGAAAUGGGAUCUGAUAACCUGCAGGCCAAAAGUUGGUGAGGUUUGGUAAAUCUCUCAGUGUCAAGUCCCGAAGUUCAUUCAUAACAAUUUCAUAGUAAUCCGUGACAUCUGCUCCACCUUUAUGCCAAAAUACUUCUUUUAUUUCAUCAUUAGCUUCUAUGGAUAUGUACUUCAGUUUUUGAAGACUUGGAGCUAUGCUGAUAUGAAAUAGAUGCCUUAGUUUGUGGCAAUAACGGACAUAGAUCGAUUUGAGUUUUGGGAAACAUACAGGUUGGAGAUUAUUCUCAUCCUCAUCCUCAUCAAUGAUUUGCUCUAAUUCCCAGCAACGCCAAAUACGUAACACCUCCAAUUGCAACAGAUUUCGAGCAAGUGUUGAUGAGAGGAGACAUCUCAGCGUAGAGCACCCGUUCACGAUUAAAUGGGUAAGAUUUUGCAGGCUAAAAUUAUGCGUGGGACCUUCGUGAUAUAAUACUUGCAGUUCUUGAAGAUCUUCCAAUUCCAACAUCUUCAAACAUGGGAAUAAUUUGUUUUCUUGUACCUCAGCGAUAAUAGCUUCCAAUUGAAAUACCACCUGUACUCCAAGUUGGCUAAUACCCAAAUAUUCCAAAUUUUUUAAGCCGUGCUUCAAUAGUGCUAGAAUCGUGUCACUUAAAUGGAAACAAUCGUCCACAUUUAGAACUUUUAAGUUCUGAUACAAACAAAUAGGUUAGUUGAUAUAAUUAAAAUCUAUUAGCAGCUAGGAUUAUCACAUGAUAAGUGAUGAACCCCGCAAAAAAAAAAAAAAACAGAGACAAAAUCCAUGCAAAAAUAUAAUAAUACAUAUGUAAACAAAUAAAAUAAUUAAAAAGUAAUGGAAUUUUUUUUAAAUGAAAUUAGUUAAAAGAGAUCAUGUGAAGUGAUAUAAAGGUGACAUUAGAUUGUUUGAGAAAAAUUAGUAUUCUAUUAAUUUCUAUGGCUUGAUCAACUAAUUAAUUGAAUUUGAGUAAUAUUAUAUACACUUCAGAAGUGUUUACGUCAAUUCUUUCUAAACCAAAAUGAGAUAUAACUUUCAUUUGAAGAAUAAUUUUAGGCCCUAUAAUAAAGAAAUUUCCCUAAGAUAUCUGAGCAUUAUUAUUAUCAUUACCACAUCCACCACCACCAUCAUCAUCUCCAUAGGAUCAAAUAAUUAAUGGCUGGUAUAAAAUUUAUUGCUAAACUAUCAUUUUGACUAAAAAUUGAAGGAAAAGAAGAAACAUGAACCCAAACAAACAUACCUCUUCAAGAUACUGCAAAUUGGCUUCAAGUUCAGUACUGUUGACGGUCAAGUUGGGACAGUGCUCAAGGUAUAACUCCUCCAACGCUGGCCAAAUUGAAAAAUAAUCUUCUGAACAAAAGCUGAUGAGUUCUGGGAGAUCAUCAAGUAUUAAUUUCUCAACAAAGGGAGGGCAAGCAUCGUAUUUCCAUCUCCGACACUUAUUUCCCCUUCAUUGUGAUCAAACUUUGCUUCGACAAUACAUUCUAGUCUUUCGCAUUCCCUUACAUAGAGACGUUUAAGCUGCUCCAAACUUCGAGCUUGUGACAACGUGAAGAUAUAUGUCAAAGUAUUGCAGCUAUGCACAUUCAAUUCUGUAAGAGUUUGGAGGCUGAUAACAUGGAGAGCGGGCGCCUUCCAUAUCCACUUCAGUUCUGGUAAUUGCUGCAUAGAUAACUCCACUAAUCUUGAGAGCACCUCAUGAUUCCCACUCUUUCCAUGCAGCGACUGAGAGGCAUCCACUAUGCAUUCUAAAUUCUCACAAUUGUUGACAAAUAGACGAGUCAACUCAUUUAAGCCCCUUUCAUCUAUGCUUGGCACAAUAUUAUGACAACCUAUUAACCCCCUCAAACGAAGAAAUUCCAGAUUUUGAUACAAUGCUGAAAAAAUAACGAGCGAGGUCGCUUCAGGAGGGUCAUUCUCAAUGAUUAAUCUCCUUGUCUCAUCACCAUCUUCCAUUUCAUCAUCAACUCCUUCACCUUUACGGAUGAUGUAUCUUUGCAAUUUCGGAAAUGUAAAGUCUUUUGGAAGACAUACAACAGAUCUGUCGGCUUGGGAGUUCAACUCAGCAAGCCUAGCAUUACUUUCUUCUGAACUCAUCUCUUCAACCUCCCAAUUUUUUAUCCGACCAUAAAAUUCUUCCAAUUGAGGAAAUUUUUUUAUCGUAAUGGGAGAAACAGAACCGGUAUCAAUAUAUAGAAGUUUCAAUCUACGAAGUUCAUCCGACAAUUCUUCAAGAAUUUCAAUGGGAGACCGCUGGAGAUAAAGAAGUUCAAGUCUCUUCAACUUUCCACGAAAAGACACAUCACUCACAUCACACCGAAUCAACUGCAGAACUCGGAGGUUUUUGGCUAGGAAUCGAAGUGAUUUUAGUGAAAGGACUCCAUUUAUUAUAGUAACAACUUUCAAUGCUGGCAUCCCUUUAAAAAAAUUUUCUGGAACUUGCAAUUUGUAGUCACAUAGAGUGUUGUCCAGUCGCAAAAUAUGAAGGUCAGGGCAUGCAAAACUACUAGGAAGCUCUUCUUCUUUAUUUCCCAUUACAGAGAUUCCUUUGCACUGUUCCAGGCCUUUUUCCACCGCCCGUUCCAGCAAUCUGAUGCCAUUUAUACUAAACAAUCUCUCCUCCUUCUCCUUCUUCUCUGUGCUUAUCCAUAUGGCUACAUCACGAACUACGUCAUGCAUUUUCACAGAUCUGUCAUUACCAGUGUCUAACAGCAGUGAAGCAGCUUUGAGUCCGUCAAUUGUUCCAUGCAGUAGGCUUCUGGUGUUCUCUAUUGACUCAGCUUGAUACCAAGUCAACCCUACUGCAUAUCCAACCAAAUCCUCCAAAUUAAUCUCAUAAUCUUCUGGAAAUAGCGAACACAGCAAGAAGCAUAACUUGGAAUUGUCAUCAUUCAAUUUGUCGUAACUAAAUUUGAGACAACCGUAAACAUCUAAGUUCUCCUCAUCAAUACCUUCUAUUGCAUAGAGUUUUGCAGCCUUUAGGUUAUGUAGAGCUAGGUUCCAUUCAUUAAAUCCUUUUCCUCUUAGUGCACUUCCAACAGCUUCAAUAGCUAAAGGCAGCCCCUUACAUUCUCCAGCAACUUCUUUGGAAACAUCAUUCAAGGUGGAGUCAUUUACAUCAAUGCCGGCA